rnacentral:lncRNA from 1 species
UGACCGGCAUUCAACUCUAUAAUAUGAGAGUCGAACUUUGGACGUCUUCUCUUCGUUGGAGUUUCUGCUGAAGUUGUUUCUGAAAUUGUCCAAGAAGGUCCUUCUUUUCUAUUCUUUGAUCUGUAACCAGGAGGGCGUCCGGGUCUUCUCUUCUUAGUUGGAGUUUCUGCAGAAGUUGUUUCUGAAGUUGUUGGAGAAGGUCCUUCUUUUCUAUUCUUUGAACCGGAACCAGGAGGGCGUCCUCUUCUCAUCUUGGUUGGAGUUUCAGAAGAAGUUGUUAGAGAAGGUCCCUCUUUUCUCUUCUUUGGUGUCAGGUUGGGAGAAGAAUCCAAUGGCAAUGGCACUGGAAAUGUUGAAGAAUUAUUCAUUGCUGCAUCACCACCUAACAAUUUUCUUUUCUUGAAAGAAGUUUCAGUUUCAAAAGGUUCUUCUUUGAUGUGAAGUUGAUUCAAGAAUGAAGAACCCAAUGGCAAUUGCGGCAGUCUAUCAUCACCAUCUUCCAUUAUUGUGCCACAAGAACAACAAAUUUUGAGACUAAGGAAUGUGAACAAGAGAGAAAGAGAGAGAGAGAUGGAUUUGUAGUAUAAAGAUUAUAUUUUUAUAGUAUGAAGGAAGAGGUUGAGCUAACUAAGGAACUGUAACUAACUGUUUAUAACUGCUUCUAACUGAUCAACUGUCAUAACAGAAAACUAAGAAGGAAAUGUAACUAAUUUGUUGGAUUUGUUUAUAAAACUUGAGGUGGAUAAAGUUGCUCUCUUGUGGGAUUUGUGCUAAUCAUCUUGAAUCAAGAUUCUUGAUGAUCCUAAUUUUGAUUCAUUUCACAUUACUAGAGCAAAUAUUUCAUAAUCUCUUCUACAUAUAUAAAUGACUUUUCUUGGUAUAAUAUUCUAGAAAAUGUUGAUAUGUUUAUCAAUGCAUAAAAUUCAAAUAUAAAAAAACUCUAAUUAAAAUUUGCACAAAAAUCAAUUGAGUUUUUUAGGUUUCCUCGAACCCAUCAAAUUUAAUUUGAGGAUAUUUGGGUUUUGUUUAAGCAUUACUCAACACAGACAUAACCAUCACCAUAGAUUCCAAAUCAUCAUCUUCCCAAAAUAUUUUUAUAGUCAUAUGUAAUACUUCACAUUAAAUGGAGAAGAAGUGAAUAUACUAAUAUGAGACAAGUGUCGCUUAGAAAUUUCAUAUAUUUUUUUAAAAUGGCCACUACUAAAAAAAAAUACUCCGCCACCAUUACCAAAAAAAAAUAUUCCGGAAGUAAAUAUUAUAUCAUUACGGUUAUCUAAAAACACCGUUAUAAUAUAUUUUUCAUUAUUUUUUUAAAAUUUUAAUUACUUAAAACUUAAUAUUUUUUUAUUAUAAAAUUUAAUCAUAUAAACAAUCAUGGUGAUAUUAUUUAAUCACUUUAAACAGGGUUAACUAACUUGUCUCUUCGGGUUCAUAUUUUUAUUUCUAUCAAGAAACAAUCCCUGAUGAAACAACACGAUUUUCAACCCUAACGAAACGAAAUUAGUUUCAACCCUAACGAAAAUACAACACCAUCUCCAAACCUGAAGAAACAACAACAUUUUCAACCAACGUCUGUGCUUUCGUACCGUCGAGGAAGGAGCCGACACUGUUUUCUUCGUUCUUGACUAGCCUUCGAUUUAGCUGUCGAGGAGGAACUCAAAGAUUAUGUCAAUUUUUUUACUUAUUCAUCACGUUUCCGGUACGUAAACUUUUUCCCCAUGCAUCUACAUUAUUGUUAUUUUCUAUUGGUGUUUAUGUAUUUGUUGUUGUUGUUGAUACCAUUGUGUUGAUGAUGCCAUUGAUGCUUAUGUAUUUGUUAUUGUUGAUGCCAUUGUUGUUGAUGAUGCCAUUGUUAUUGGUGAUGUCAUAUUGUUGCUUAUGUAUUUGUUGUUGUUGUUACCAUUGUGUUGAUAAUGUCACUAUUGUUGUUGAAUUCAUUGUGUUGAUGAUGCCAAUGUUGUUAAUGAUGUCAUUGUGUUGAUGAUGCUAUUGUUGAUGAUGUUUGUGUCUUGAUGUUGAUUGUUUUAUGUCUUGAUAAAUGACCUCUUCUUCUCUAGUAGCGACAAAGCUACAUAUACAAAUGAAACCUAUACAAAUGAUUCUCAAUCUCUAGUAGGAGAACAGGAAAAAAAAAGCAAAGAGGUGCCAUAAUUUUGGCUAAAUUAACAAAAGUCUGUAAGUCAGGUGUCAGAUUUUCAGUUGAGUUUAGUUCUGUUUAUAUUAUUCUUGAUGAUCCUUAUUCUUCAAUUUUUAAGAGUUAUGUCACGUUCAUUGGAUGUAGCAAAGUCAGCAUAUUUUAGAUGAUUGGAAAGAUGUAACAUAUGAGGUGGAAACGAGCAUAUGGACAGACGUUCAUGUAUUAAUUUUAAUUUUCAUCAAUUCGAUAUUACUUUAUAUAAACACUAAUACAUACUUAUUGAUGUAAAUGUGUAGUUGCCGUUUGAGUUUAGUGUUGAUUCGAAGUUGAAAAAAAAUGGAUCACUUAUGCUGGUACGACUUUGAGGAGUUUUAAGUCACGACUCACGAGUAACUAUAUUACGAAACCUAAACCUAAUAUUAAGCGCCCGUGGGUGAAAUAUCCCUUUCUUGACAAUAAGUUUUGAAAAAAGUUUGUGAAGUCUCGUAGUUUUAAGGAGUUCAUGGUUAGUACCAGUUAUAUUUUUUGAUAAUUUUAUUUAUACAACCAUGGACGUUAAUAUUUCUCAUAUGUUUAAAACAGGUUAAAAGUGAAGUAGAAAAGCUGAACAAGUCUAAAAAUUACCCCCAUAGAUUGUACUGUAGGGGAUACAGAAAACUUGAGAAAACUGUGAUUGUUGAAAAAAAUACAACAACUAGGAGAUGGAGACUCCAUGAGUCGUGAUCGAAAACCAUCUCCACCAUCACGACAUGAGAAGUGGAAUAAGGCUUUAAAAAGACCAAAUUGAGACUACACUUAAGAUGCCACAAGAUCAAUACCUAAGAAAAUUAUAAGUAGGAUUUGUUGUGCAUAUGUUAAGUGUUAUUUAAAUUACUUUGGUAAUUAACAAUGUAUGUCUUAUCACAUGAAGAUUCCUUGUAUGUGUCAACUCAUGACCUUCAUAGGUCGACACAUGACACUUAUAGGUCAACACAUGACCUACAUAGGUCAAAACAUGACCUUCAUAGGUCAACACAUACACUAAAAUUUUCCAAAAAACAACUUUUUGACCAUCUAAACACUCCCAAAUACACCAAAAACUCAUACCACGAAAAUCCAUCAAUUAAAACUCAUUUUUCUAUGGUUAUAGCUUGCUAAUUCAUCAUUUUACUCAUAGUUUUUAAGAGUCAACGUCAUGUUACAACACAUCAUAACACAUCGUCAUCUUUAAAUCAUCAAGAACACAAUCAAGGUUAAAAACCUUCAAAACAUCAAUCAAUGGCAUAUCGUGAUCAACAACAUCAAAAUAACAUAUUCACACAUAUAUUACCCAGAUUUCACCCUAAUUCAUCAUACAAUCAAAAGUGGUAACACAAUAUCAGAAUUUAGAUCUACAAUACUCAAUCCUAAGGAGGUUAAGGGUUCCUCCAUCUACCCACAUGUUCUAACACCCAUUAAAGAAGCACAUCUCCCCUUUACCUGAUUUUCAGCCAAAAUCCCCUUUGAUUUCCUAGAGUUCUUCAAUCUUAAGUCUUCACUCUUCCUCUUUGCCUCUUUUCCAACUCCCAAAAACACAUCCUGACUCUCUAGGUUCCCAAUUCUCUAUUUUGUUCCAAGACUUCUUUCCUUCCAAAAUAGACUCUUCCUAUAAUACCCUCCAACGUACCAUUGUAUUCUCCAUUCUAUCCUUCAUAUCUUCCUUAUUCGCAACCCUUCCCCCACUUCUUCUACACAUCCAAUUUUUCUCAUUAUUUUAAUUAUUAAAUAAAUAUAAAUAUUAUUCUAAAAAUUUGUUAAACUCUUAAUAAUUCUAAACACCAAUGCCCAACUCAUACUCUCCUUAUACCUCUAUUUCAAAGACACUUACCCCACAACUACAUCAUAAAAAAUUUAACAGGACAAUCAAUUCGAAUAAAAUCUUAAAUAAUUUGAUUAAAUCAAAUAAUUGAACUCAGAGUGUUACAUAUAUCACCUAAUUUGGUAGUAUGAAUAGACUCACUAUAUGUAUUAUAUUAUUUCACACUUUUUAAUUAUUUAAACAACUAAAUCACAUUUUCUAAAUAUUAAUACCAAUCAUUCAAACUUUUAAAUUGAAUCUUGUUAAUGUCACAAUAUACUUCAACUUUAUAUUUUACAUUUGUUCCGCUAUGGAACCAGAAUUGAUCGGAAAUCGGUGAUUACAAUAAACAAUGAUGAACUUAAACCUUCCUUUUAGGUGAAGGAGGUGGUGCCUACAAGGUUAACACUCAAACUCUCAAGUCAGUGUGUAAAGGAGAAGAGUGAAUGAAAUUUUGUAUUUGAAAUUGUGUACACGCUCUUUAUAUAAUAGAGCGAUUAUUACAACUGGUUGUUCUCUAUGCAUGUUAUGGGGAGUCGUUCGAUGUAUCUUGGUCAUAGAUCUCUUAUGCGUGUCUCUAUAGUAGCUUCCUUAUAUUGUGAGAAAUGGGAGUGAACCAUUAUUUCCUCUAGGUUUGGAUUGAUGGUGAUUCUGGUUGGGUCAGAACAAUUCCCCCUGAACCCCCAUCACUGCCUGUCAGCGUGAGGGUUUAUCAUACUUUUCCAAUUUGCAUCAGUCAUUACUUUAGCUUAAAUGGAAUAUCCAUUGAAGAUAUUAUUAUUUUAGGAAUCCGCGCCUUGUUGUGCCUCAUGCUCUAGCUGUUUUUUUGUAGGUCUCAUUAUAAUGACCUUUGAGAACUAAAACACUUGAGUGUCUCGUUGAUGCAAUAUUGAGCGUUGAUAGGGUUCAUUACUUUUAGUAACUUAUCACACAAUUCUUGAAGAGUCAGUUUUGGAUUUUCUUAAGGUGUUAUAUUCUCUUCUUUGUUAUUUUCAUUUUCUACAACUCCUUUCUUUUUGUGCUCGAAGAGAGUAGUGUUCAUAAUGAGUCAAAAAUCAAGGGAAGAUACUUCUGUUUUUUUUAUUGGCCAUGUAUCUUUUUUGUUAGAAGUAUGUGAAUACAAAUCAGAGUAGAGAGAAACACACAAAAGCUUUAUUCACAUAAUUCGGCCAAAUUGCAUACAUCAGGAGUAUAUAGCAACUAUAGUUUCGUCUUAUUUAUUUGUUAUGAAUUACACAUAUUAGAGUUUCAAUGUUACAAGCAUAUAUAGAGAUAUUAAUGAUCCAGCCUACAAUAAUAGCCCUAACUUUAUCUAUGAGGCAAACUCAACAUUCUUUAACUUCUCUGCCUUUGUUCGAGAAUGUGUCCUUGAUGGAGCUUUACUGGACGUAGGCCUAUCUUCAGAUUCGGGUGUCUUGAUCCUUGAUAAAGACAAAAGGAUUUGUAGCAAGCAUGAAGAAUGUGUCAUUUCUUUAUAUGAAUGUACCUUCUCGAUCCUAAACAGAUUUGGAGUCGAAGUCCUGAAUCACUUGAUGGUUACCCCUCGCAGUUGCAUCCUACGAGUUAGGCAUAUAUUAAAGUUUUCUACUAUUGGAGCAAAUAUCAAAAGUGGAAACUCUUUCUCACAAUAUACUUCAACUUACAAAAGUUUUCUACUACGAAUUAGGCAUAUAUUAAAGUUUUAUAUUAUUGGAGCAAAUAUCUUAGUAAUUGUUAAUAAUCAUAUUAGAUUCAUUUAGACCUUCCCAAUGAGACAUAAAUCUGACACUAGUCGUCUAGUUCAAACCUUUUAUAACUAUGCUCUCACACAAUUUUUCACUAAAAUCAAAUGUAUUAGAAGUGACAAUGAAGUUUAAAUGUUUGUGGUCUUAUGCAAUAGAACAUGUUGCAUUUCUCAUUAAUCAAAUUCGCACACCUAUUUUACAAUUCAAAACUCUAUGAAAAUCAUAUAAAUACCAUCCUACAUUUCACGACCCCAAGGUCUUUACUUUGCUUAGGAUCUGCCUCUACUAUAUUGAGUGGUAGAAUCAAGCUACACCUCAGAGCCAGAAGACGUUUUUUCUUGGAUAUAAAACUAACAUAAAUGGAUUUCUCCUUUUUGAUUUAAACACUAGAAACAUCUUUGUAUCUAGAAAUGAUAUCUUCUAUGAAUAUGAAGAUGUUUUUCCAUAAAACCCACAAAUUUCCAACAGGUCCAUUCCAGAUGAGGUCACUACCUUGAUGACAUCACUCCUUUUAAUCUUCUAGGAAAAGACACUCAUAAGCAUCACACAACCAUGAAAAACUCACAUGUCAUAUCACCUAUAAGUAGGCCAUCAAAUAUUCUCACUAACUUAAAGCUAUGAAUUAUGAAAUUCGGGUACUUAAUUUCAACAACACUUGGGAAAUCACCGAAAUAUAAAUGGGUUUUCAAAAUUAAACAUGAUAGUGAUGAUCCCAUAGAAAUAUAUAAGGCUUGACUUGUAGCCAAAGACUACACACAAACAGGGGACAUAAAUUACUUUGAAACCUAUUUUCUGUAGCCAGUCUAACCACCGUUAUACUUUUGCUCUCCUUGCUUCUAUCGAAAAUUGGUUAAUUCACCCAUAAGAUGUCCAUAAUACCUUCUUAGAUUGCACAAUAAAUGAGGAGGUAUAUAUGACCUUUUCCACUGAAGUCACUUCCACCCUGAACAAUCCUGUUUAAAAAUUAAAUAAGUUUAUAUCUUUUGUUGAAUUAAGAAGUUAUCCUUAUCAACAUUAGAGUUUGAUCCAAAUUCUCACAACUCUCCACCUUAGAAUAAACUUUAUAACAUCAAGAGAGCAAAUUAGAUUUCUUCAUGCAGUUUUUAUCAACUACAUACACUGGAAAAAUUAUAAUUUGACAAUGUCUUGGUAAUCAUAUCAACAACAUUGUCAUCAGUUGAAAACUUUAGCACUUGGACUUCUCCACGCUCGAUUAUCUCUCUGAUGAAAUGCAGCCUCACUUCGAUGUGCUUGGUUAGCUCAAGAUAGGCUGAAUUCUUCGACAUGUGUAUCGCACUUUGACUAUCACAUUUAACAGUGAUGGCUCGACCUUAAAGUUUCAGCUCCUUAGCAAAACCUUCAAGGCACAAUGCUUCUUUCACAACUUCAUUGGGGAUAAUAUAUUUCGCUUAAGUGGUUGAUAAGGCAACAACCUUCUGAAAUGUUGCUUUCCAACUGAUUGUUGUGCCAAACAUAGCGAACACAUAUCCAAAAAUAUAUUUUUUGGAAUCCAUAUAUCCUCCAUAAUCAGAGCCGACAUAUCCUUUGAUUUCAACUUUGCUAUCAUCACCACAAGCUCCACCAUAAAUAAGUACUCUUUUCAGAUACCCAUUUAUGUAACUUAAAAUCCACGUUAAUGAUUGUCAAUGCGUCUUUCCAAGAUUGACCAUAUACCUGCUUACAAGGCUCACUUUGUACGCUAUGUCUGGCUUCGUACAGACCAUAGCAUACAUCAAAGAAUCUACUCUACUAGCAUAUGGAAUUUUAACUUCGGUACUAGGACUUUACGUUGAACUCAGCUUGAACUGAGGAUUAGUCAGGGUUACAACAAGCUUUGAAUUCGACAUACCAAACUUGUCGAGAAUCUUCUUCAGGUAUGUCUCUUGAGAUAAGCAUAAUCUCGAUUGCUUUCUAUCUCUCUGGAUGUUAAUCCCGAGAAUCCUGGAGGUAGCUCAAAGAUCCUUUAUAUCGAACUCCUUAUCGAGUUCAACCUUCACCUUCGUAACAUCUUCGACAUUGUUGCUUUCUAUGAGAAUGUCAUCCACAUAAAGCAAUAAAAUAACAAGUGAAUUUUUAGAUAGAAAUCUGAAGUAAACACAAUGGUCGAACUGGCUCAUAGUGAAAUCUAUGUGUGCCGUGAAUUUUUCGAAUCUCUUAUUCCAUUGCCGAGGAGAUUGUUUCAGGCCAUAUAGUGAUCUAUUCAGCUUGCAGACAUAAUCUUCCUUUCCUUUUUCUGCAUAUCCUUCAGGUUGCAUUAUCAGGUUUGUUUCAUUUAGAUCACCAUACAGGAAGGAAGUCUUCACAUCCAUCUGUUAAAAUUUUAGGUCGAACUUUGCCACCAUAGCAAGCAACAUUCAAAUGAAUAUAUGCUUUACAACAGGUGAAAACAUAUUGUUGAAGUUGACACCUUCUUUUUUAGUGAACCACUAGCAACAAAGCUUGCCUUAAAACACUUUGACAUCACUCCUUCAAUUCCUUCCUUAACUUUGAAUAUCCACUUACAACUGACUAACCCGAUCCCUGUAGGUUUCUCGAUCAGCUCCCAAGUGUUAUUAUCAUAAAGAGAUUUCAUCUCAUCAUCUAUGGUUUUUAGCCAUUCAGUCUUAUUUCGACUCCUCAUAACUUCCUUGUAAUCUCCAUGUUCUUCAUUAAGGACCUCACUUGUUGAGAUUAAAGAAAAAGCUAUAACAUCCGCAUAACUAAGUCUCUGAGGUGUCUUGAUGACUCUUCUCGAUUUGUCUCUUGCCAACAGGUAGUCAUUAUCAGUCUCCUCAGCUUCGACAAUAACUUCUGCUUCUUCUUCGACUUCAUAUGGGUUAUGAAAUUCAGCAUCAACAUGCUCCAUCUCAACAUGAAUCUCUUCCUAUUCCAACUCUUCUUCAAAGAUCUUGGUACUUCGACCAACAUCAUCAGUUUUCUUGAACGCAUACUUCAUUGAAAACUACAUCUCAACUUGUGAUACACCUCAUGUGACCUGACUCUAGGCACCACAACCUAUAAGCUUUGACUCCUUCAGGGUAUUUAAGAAACAUAGAUCUCAGAGCUCUAGGUUCGACCUUGUCUUUCCUAAUGUGGGCAUAGGCUAAGCAACCAAAUACUCUAAGUCUUUCGAGAUUAGGUGGAUGUUUCGAUCAAACUUCUUCAGGUGUUUUCACCCCCAGGACAGUCGAGGGGCACUUAUUUAUCAAGUAUGAUGCAGUCACAAUAGCUUCUACCCAAACACCUUCUUUAAUCCCGCACUAACCAACAUUACAUGCUCCUCACUCUUUCCAUAAUUGUUCGGUUAAACCUUUAAGCCAAACCAUUUUGUUGGGGAGUACCUGCAGUAGUUUUGUGCCUUGCAAUAUCAGACGCAACACAAUAGUUGUCGAAUGCCUCAUUGCAAAGUUCAAGACCAUUGUUAGUCUUCAAACUCUUGACCUUCCUGUCAGUUUGGUUUUCGACCAGAGUCUUCUAACUUUUGAAAUUUUCAAAAGUUUCAUCCUUAAUUUUUCUAGAUGAAUACCAAUAACUUUCUAUUUAUAUACUACUAAGCUAACUUAAGCUACAAACUAAUUUAAAUAGUUGGACUAAACAAAAGGUUCAAUUUGACAUGCUAAUAGUUCUAACAUUUCGACUACUAUAUGUUUGAGCAUACUUUGUUUAGAGCAUUAUCGAUAUUAGAGUCCGAUCCAAAUUCUCACAAUGUGAAUAGACUUCGACUACCUGCUAAACCUUUAUCGAACCAAAAAAUUAUCAUUAUCGAUAUUAGAGUCCGAUCCAAAUUCUCACAAUGGUCUAAACAAUCUAGAAGGAAAUGGUUAUAUAUCUAAGCUAUGUUAUGCUUUAAAUUCCAAAGGCUACUUUCAGUCUAGUUCUGAUCAUUCUUUGUUUAUUAAGAAAUGUUCCAAUUCAUUCAUGGAAAUUUUGAUCUAUGGAGAUGAUAUCUUGAUUGCACACAAUGAUAUUGAAGAAAGAUCAUCUUUCAAAAUCAAGGAUCCAGGCCACCUUAAAUGUUUUCUAGGCUUGGAUGUUGCGAUAUAUUACCUAGUAAUCCACGUAUGUCAAAGGAAAUCCACACUUGAUCUCUUAUUUGAAACAUGAUUAGUGAGUGGAUGCCAAUGGCCAAAGGCACAAAGCUAAGUCAAUCCAAUGGCCAACCCUUUCCUGAUCCAACACCUUAUAGAAAUUUCAUUGGCAAAUUGAUUUAUUACACGUUGCGAAUCACAUACAAGCAUUAAUACGUUUAACUAAAGUUGCAUAAUUUUACUACUUCAAUGCAAUGCAAGUAACAAUCAAUUCAAUUCUCUGUAUAUUAGUAUUAUCUUCUACAAGGAAUUCAUAGAUGACAUGAAAAUGCAUCAGUGACUUUAUAUACAGAUAUUAUUCUUGCUAAAAAUAGAAAAGGAAACAAUAAUGGUUUUUGGAAUAUCAUUUCCUGUGUCUGUAUUCUAUCUAUAAACCAGAAGCCGCUUCUCUUCGAUAACCUUUGCACAAUAUUCUUAGUCUGGAUCAGAAAUGGCCUCAAUCAUCUGAUAAAGAUAUUAAUUCAAGUUACUAACUUCAAAUAUAAAUGCAUGCAGUCAUUUUAAAGAAAAAUAAUAGAAAUAUGAUUCCUACUUGAAGAGGAGUGGCCUCUAUGGGAAAUACUUUUCGAUCCACCACUUGUCGAAUUGGCAAAAUUUUAAGUUUUGGCGAAUGGUAACUUGUUUGUCCUUCUACUAACAUUUUAGAGUCAGAAUAACCUUUCGAACAGCAGCAGCAGCAGCAUGUGCCAAAAUUCUUGCAACCUGCUUUCUUAGCAUUGUCUUUGUUGAAAUACGCUUAAUAAUCUAAUAAACCAAAAGAUAAAGAUUGUUAAACAAAUGAGCGCGGCCAUUUCCAUUGAAAUUUAUGAUCUGCUUACUUUAGCAGGGCCGGCCGCUAUGAGGGAGUUGACAGAAGCACUUGCAUACAUAAUUCCCUUAUUAUCGAUCCAUGAACGGAACACUUUGCCUUUGCACGACAGUGACGGCCAUUAUACCACAACGAGACUUCUUAUGGAUAACGAAAGUAUCUCGAAUCUCCCUACACGCGCAACAACAAAUGAAAAGAUACUAGCGAAACAUUAAGAGCUUAACAUAUAAGAAAGAUGCAGAAUUUAACCUUCUGGUGCGCAAGACCACUCGGAGUAAAAAGGCCAACUUCUGAUAUAGUACAAAAUCACAGAUAUUAUGCUAAACAUUCGAUGAGGAAAUGCCUGAGAGAUACUGCAUAUAAUAUCUAUCAUAUCCUGCAAAUCAUAUGUUCAUAAAUGUAACGUAAAAUUGCAUCUGAAAUGAAAACAUUAGUUAACUAAAGUUAAACCUGGCCAGCACUUCAAAUCUAUCAAACCGGGGUGAGUUUUCCAGGAGGGCAUGGGGGUCUUUUCUUGGUUGGAGUUUUGUGAAGAAGUUGUUUCAGAAGAUCUCCGUUUGUGAAGAAGUUGUUUCAGAAGGAUCCUGAAGAAGUUGUUGGAGAAGGUCCUUGUUUUCUCUUCUUUGAUCCGGAACCGGAACCAGGAGGGCUUCGGCGUCGUCUUUUUACCUUGGUUGGAGAUUCUGCAGAAGACGUAUCAGUUUCCAGGUCCUCUUUUUCUCUUCUUUGGUGUUAUGGUGGGAGAAGAUUCCAAUGGAAAAUUUGAAGAAUCAUACAUUGGUAUAUCACCAGCUACUUCUUUUAUAUUCUUGAAAGAAGUUUGAGUUUGAGUUUGAGAAGGUUCUUCUUUCUGAGGAUCAGUAGUGGAAGUACUAAUCAUCUUGGCUGCUUCUGUUUUCUUCUGAUCAUCCUCCAUUUUUGUGUUGUGCCACAAGAACAAGAAGAGUAAAUGUUGAUUUCUGUAAUUGAUGUGAAGAAACUAUGGAAUGUGAACAAGGUCUCUCACGUAAAAAUAUAUUUAUAGCUGUUUAUGACUGUCAUAACAGAACUAAUAAGGAAAUGUAACUAACUGUUUAUAACUGCUUCUAACUGAUUUGUUGAAUCAUUAGCAUAAAACAUAUUUCACAUAACUAAUUAGCUUAGGAUUGACCAUGUUACAAGCUUAUAGUGUUGCUUUCAGGAUUUUCCAAUUUCUAGUCAUACUUUAUAACUUUCUAGAACUUUAUUUUUUAAGUAAAAAUUAGAGCGCAAGAGAAUCACGUGGCACCAACUAUCUCAAUUACACUGCCACUAUAAUUUUUGAAAUCUUAAUAAACUUAUUAAAAUAAGGGUUAAAUAAGUUAGAGGUUCUUUUAAAUAUUUUAAUAUUUGUUUUUAAUUCAUUAUAAAUAAUAUAUUUUAUAAUUAAGCUUUCAUCUCGUUCUACUAAAAAUUGAGGUAAAGUGUCAUAUUUAAUAUUAUUUUUUAAUAAAUAUCACAUAUUUUUUCGGUUUUUAAAUAAAAUCGAGGAGAAAAAUAUUUUAAGAUAAAUUUCGAAUCUCAGCAUCAGCAGAUUAUGUUUUUAUCUCUUUAAAAAUGAUAUUUUUAAUUUUUUUUAAUUUUUAAUUUUUUUUAAUUUUUAAUUUUUUUUAAUUUUUAAUUUUUAAAUUAAUGAUGUAUUCCUUUGAUUAUAUUUAAUAGUCGAGAUAUUAGAUUAUCAUAUUUUACUAUAUAAGCAUUCGUUAANUCAGCAUCAGCAGAUUAUGUUUUUAUCUCUUUAAAAAUGAUAUUUUUAAUUUUUUUUAAUUUUUAAUUUUUUUUAAUUUUUAAUUUUUUUUAAUUUUUAAUUUUUAAAUUAAUGAUGUAUUCCUUUGAUUAUAUUUAAUAGUCGAGAUAUUAGAUUAUCAUAUUUUACUAUAUAAGCAUUCGUUAAUUAAAUUUUAUCAUAAACUUAACUUAUAUGUAAUAGCUCAAAAGUCUUACGCAUCAUUCUCUGAGAUGGAUUGGAAGACAUAAAAAUCUUCAAUGUUCUUCAAUAUUUAACAAAAUAGUUGUUCUGUCCUUACAAUCUAUCUCACAUAAUGAUAUUGGUGUUGUUGUAUUUUUGUAAUAAACUUCAUAAGUUGUCAAUCAAAGAAAAUAUUGAGAAAUUUAUUACUUUCCUCGAUUGACAACAUUGAGAAAUUUAUUCAUAAAAAUAAUCAUUCAUUUCUCUUUCACGUUCUUUGUCAUGUGAAAACAUUUGCCAUGAAAAUAUUUGCUCAAGAUAAUGAAAUCUCUCUAAGAUGAAUUGCAACAUAUUUUUUAUUGUUUUUAUAUUUAAAAGAAACACAUUUUACCUCAGUUUUGAGUAAUAAUCGAGGUAAAAUAUAAGCGUGUUUAUUGAGUUUCUUCAUUGUCCUUAAACAAAUCGUUGUCGUCCAUUUAAUGAGUAUUAACAUUCAAGACACUAUCAUUAGUGAUCCUCGUGAAACCUAAAAGCCUCGUUAUAAAAAUAUUCUGAAUUAUUAAUUCUCUAUUUUUGUGAUUGACAGUAAUUUUGAUAAAACUAACUUAGCAACAAUAUGUUGAACAAGAUGUCACAUGUGGAUCUGUCAUCUUGUCUGAUACAGGUAUACUCUUGGUAACAGUUGGUUGAUUAACAUAUUACUGAAUAUUCUGGGAAUAUUAAGUAAUCCUAUGUGGCGUCCAAGAUUGUGGAAUCAGAUAUUCUAUUUGAAUUUAAAGUUAUUAUGUUUUUCUAAAUGUUGAGGCAUUUUAGGAAACUUUUGAUUGAAGACCUAAGUCUAUGCAGAAUAUUCUACAGCUGCGUUGCUACGUGUUUGAAGCCCAAAUCCAGUACAGUCUAUGGUUAUAAAUAGAAUGCAACAAACCUAAUUUUAGCACGAAUCAAAUAUUGUUUUAGUGAGGUUUUAGGGUUUGAGUGUUCUUGUUAAUUGUGAGCCUCUCUAAUAUCAUAUUGAUAUAAGAGUAGGACUAUCUCUAUUGAGUUGUAAGUUCUGUCAAUCACUUAUAAGCUUUUAAGCAUUGAGUGAUUGUGUGUCUGUGAAGUGUGACUUUUGAAACUUUCAUAAUUGUAUAGAUUCAUCACUGUUGUAAUUGAAAGGGAAGUGAUAAGGAUCUCAUACCUAAGUGUGUCUUAGGUAGAAGUUAAGCACGGGUAAUGGUUAGGGAGUAGAUUGUAAAUUGGAGAUAGCUUCCUGAAGGUUUAUAAACUGAUACUAUUUUGUGGAUUUCCUCCCUGGCUUGGUAGCCCCCAUAUGUAGGUGUUGUUGUACACCGAACUGGGUUAACAACUCUGUGUUUUAUGUUAUUUUUUGUUCUCAUAUUUGUAUGUUCUAGUGUCAUUGUGUUUUGAUCUGAUAUCAGUGUCUCGACAUCUCUUAGGACAUAUGAUAUUUGCAUACCAGAAUUUCAAUUGGUAUCAGAGCAGACAUUCUGCUCUGUGUCUGGGUGAGAUUUAGGGAAUAUAAGUUAUGGUACAAUGGACAAGGAAGGAGGAUUUAUGAACAGACCACCCAUACUUGAUGGAACUGACUAUGACUACUGGAAAACACGUAUGAUGGCCUUUAUUAAAUCCAUGGACAACAAGGCUUGGAAAUUCGUGGUCAAGGGAUGGGAUCCACCAAUGAUUAGAGAUAAAGAUAGUAAGAUUACUGAUAUGCUGAAGGCUAAGGAAGACUGGGAUGAUGGAGAUGAUAAAUUAGCUAAGGGAAACUCCAAAACAUUGAAUGCCCUGUUCAAUGGAGUGGACAAGAACAUCUUCAGACUGAUAAAUAACUGUACUAUUGCUAAAGAUGCUUGGGAGAUCUUGAAGACUUCUCAUGAAGGAACCUCUAAGGUGAAGAUGUCAAGACUUCAACUUCUUACCACCAAGUUUGAGAACUUAAGAAUGAAUGAGGAUGAGAGUGUUCAUGACUUUCACAUGAAUAUUAUCGAGAUAGCCAAUGCCUUAAGUUCCUUGGGGGAGAAGAUGUCAAAAGAUAAGUUGGUCAGAAAAAUUCUCAGAUCUCUUCCAAAGAGAUUUGACAUGAAGGUUACUUCCAUUGAAGAAGCCCAAGAUAUAAACAACAUGAAAUUUGAUGAACUUAUGGGAUCUCUUCAGAUCUUUGAAUUAGGGAUCAGCGACAAAUCUAUAAAGAAGAAAAGCAUAGACUUUGUCUCUAAUGUUGAAGACUUUAAAGAUGAAUGUGACCUGGAUACAAAUGAAGGGAUAUCUAAUGCUAUUGUAUUACUUGGAAGAUAAUAUAACAAAGUGAUGAAGAAGAUGGACUGGAAGACAAGAUCAAAUGUUAAGAACAAGUCAUUCGACAUCAACAAAAAUCACGAUUUUGGGAGAAGGCCCACAACUGAAGAAAAAACUAACUAAGGAAAAGGAAUCCAAUGUCAUGGAUGUUGGUGUAAGCCCUAGAGGCCAAUACUUUUGGUACUUGUAUCGAAUUAUUUAUUAAUAAUAAAAGGCAUUUUCUUUAUUAUGGUUGAUUAAUAAAGUCCCUGGAAUAGAUAGUCCGUUUAAUGUAUAAGUGUAUGACUUAAUCAUGAGAACACAUUAAACAUAAGGACACUAUUCUUAAAGUAUCCGUAGUCAGCUUAGUGUGAAGUGGGAUACAUUAAACAUUAAGACUAUUAUGUUUGUAGACUGAUGAUUCACAUCUCAUGGUCAUGGAUAAAGAGUUAUCAAGUCUUAAAACAAGUAUGAAUAUUAGAGUUAAUAUUUAUAGGAUGACCCGCUAUGAGAAUACUAUAUAGAAAGUUAUGCAAAGUGUCAUAAGUUAUUCUCAUGGUGAUAAUAGUGUAUACACUCCUUCGACCUAAACCACUAUGGAUCCUAGAUGUAGAGCGAGUGCUUUAUUGGUUGAUCCACAUUGUCUGUUAACUGGAUAACCAUAAGACAGUUGAUGGUACUCCACAAAGCAUGCUGAGCAUGAGUGUCCUAGAUGGAAUUUGCCCAUCCUGUGUAACAGGAUAAAUGUCUAUGGGCCAAUAUUGAACUGGACAAGGAUGACACGGUCUAUACCUUGUGUCAAUAUAAGACAUAAGGCAAAGGUAAUUAUACACAUAAUUAUUAUCACAAGAGGUUUUGUCAGAUCACAUGACAUUUUCGUGUCUUGGGUGGCAGUUGACUGUUGUUGCUAGAUACCGCUCACUGUUUAUUAUGUUAAAUGCAUGAUUUAAUAUAAUUGCCAACGUCACGAAAACCUACAGGGUCACACACAAAGGACGGAUUGAUGAGAGAUAGAGUAAUUAAGGAAUACCGUAAUGUACGGUGCCCUUAAGAGUAACUGAGGAACAUCGUAAGGUACGGUGCACUUAUGUGGAAUACGAAAUAUGGUAAGGUACCAAAUACUUAAGUGAUUUUGGGAAUAUUAUAAGAUAUGGGCCAAAAUACACUUAAGUGGGCUUUUUAGCUUGAAGCCCACACAAGUGAUUCUAUAAAUAAAACCUCUUGGGUAGAAGCAUUGUCACUCAGACUCAAAUUCAAGUGAAGACUUGGAAUUUCGUUUCCCUCUCUCUCUCACUCAAAGCCUUCAUUCAUAACAGCUAGCACUGCGAUUGAAGGAAUCCGUUCGUCUGAACUGAGUAGAGACGUUGUCAUCGUUCAACGUUCGUGAUCUCCCCGUGGAUCUGUAUCCAAGGUUUUGAUCGUUACAAGAGAUCUGCACCAAAGGUUUGAAUCGCCACAAGAGGUAACGAUUCUAUCACUGAUCAUGCCCAUUCGUAAGGAUCACUAAAUGGAGAAAUUUUAAAGAGAUCUGCACCAAAGGUUUGAAUCGCCACAAGAGGUAACGAUUCUAUCACUGAUCAUGCCCAUUCGUAAGGAUCACUAAAUGGAGAAAUUUUAAAUUCCGUUGCGCCUUGGAUGGCAAUUCUCCCACAUUGGACACAUAAAUUCUGAGUGCCCCACUUAUCUCAAGAAGCAGAAGAAAGGUAUAUGUUUGUGUCAUGGUCAGAAGAUGAUUCUGAAAAUGAUCUUGAAGUGGGACCUGCCAAACAUGUUACUGCCUUGACUGGUAUUUAUGAUUCUGAUGAAGAAUCAGAUCGUGAGGAACUCACUUUUGAGGAACUUGCAGUGUCUUACAAGGAGUUGUGCCUCAGAAAUGAAGAAGUAUGUUAACUGGGAGAAGAUCAAAAGAAAGUUAUUGCUCAACUACAGGCUGAAAAAGUGGAGCAUCUGUCUAUCAUCUCUGAUCUGAAGGAUGGAGUUUUUGGCAAUAUGACUAAGUCUGUAAGAAUGCUUAACAAUAGUUCUGAUAUUUUGGAUGAGAUUCUUCAAACUAGUAAGAAUGCUGGAAAUAUUCAAGGUUUUGGUUAUGAUAAUCAAGUUGUGAUAAACAAAGGAAAAAGGGUCUGCAAUGAAUUUUGUUCAACCUAAAAGAAAACAGGAAGAAAAUAUGUCAAAUCAAAUGUCCCAACAUCAACAAAGACAUCAAGAUGAUUACUCAGGAAGCAAGACCCAACAAUGGAAAUGUCAUCAUUACGGGAGGUUUGGUCACAUAAAACCUUACUGCUACAAACUAUAUGGCUAUCCCAAACUUUCUUCACAACCCAUAAGAAAACAGACUAUUGUUAAAGCAAAGAAAAAAUGGAUUCCCAUAAAUGACACUUCUAGAUUCAUAGUUCACAUCUCCCUUAGAGCCUCUGCUAGUGAGGAUUGGUAUUUCGAUAGUGGCUAUUCUAGACACAUGAUUGGUGUCAAGAAAUUCUUGGUGGAUAUUAAAUCAUAUUCCACUAGCUAUGUCACCUUUGGGGAUGGAUCAAAAGGUGAAAUAAAAGGUGUUAGAAAGAUGGACUAUCCUGGUCUGCCUAGUCUUGAUGAUGUAUUGCUUGUUAAAGGGAUGACUGCAAAUUUGAUAAGUAUUAGUCAACUAUGUGACUAAGGACUCAAAGUUAACUUUAGUAAAUAUGCAUGCAUGGUAACCAAUGAGAAGAAUGCACUUAUCAUGAAGGGAGCCAGAUCUAAAGAUAAUUAUUAUCUAUGGACUCCUCAAGAAACAAAUUGUUUCUCCACAUGCUUAAUGUCAAAAGAAGAUGAGGCUAAGCUAUGGCAUCAAGAUCUUGGUCACUUACAUCUGAAAGGGAUGAAGAAAGUUAUGUCGAAGGAUGCAGUCAGAGGUAUUCCCAAGCUGAAAAUUGAUGAAGGAAUAAUUUGUGGUGAAUGUAAAAUUGGGAAGCAAACAAAGAUGUCACAUAAAAGCUCCAACAUCCGACCACGUCAAAAGUUCUAGAGCUACUUCAUAUGGACUUUAUGGGACCUGUGCAGGUUGAAAGUCUUGGAGGAAAGAGGUAUGCAUAUGUUAUUGUUGAUGACUUCUCAAGGUUCACCUGGGUGAAUUUAAACUAAGAGAAGUCUGAAGUGUUUGAAGUAUUUAAAGAACUCAUCCAAAAGAUUCAAAGAGAGGGGGAUUAUGGUAUUAUUAGAAUUAGAAGUAACCAUAGGAAGGAAUUUUAAAAUAGCAAGUUUGAUGAAUUAUGCACUUCUGAAGGGAUCAAUCAUGAGAUCUCUUCACCUAUCACCCCUUAACAGAAUGGUGUGAUUGAGCACAAGAGUAAGACUAUUCAAGAAUGUGCCAUUGUCAUGCUUCAUGAUAAGAAAAUACCAUAUCAAUUUUGGGAUGAAGCCAUGAACACUACCUGCUAUAUCCUUAAUAGAGUGACUAUCAGAUCUGGUACUUUUGUUACACUCUAUGAACUGUAGAAAGGAAGAAAGAUAACAGUGAGCAGAGGAGAAAAAUGGAUCCUAAAACUUGACGAGGGAAUUUUUCUGGGAUACUCUACAAAUAGUAGUGCAUACAAAGUAUUUAACUCCAGAACCAAGGUGGUGAUGGAAUCCAUAAACAUUGUUGUGGAUGACUCAACUAAAGAAGCUGAUGUCACAAAUGAAGUUGAAACAUCCAUGAAUGAUGUUCCUGAAGAUGUUGCAGACACAAGUACUAAUACUGAUCCUACAGAGACUGAGUCAACUAACAAAGGACCUUCCAUAAGAAUUCUGAAAGAUCAUCCUAAAGAGCGUAUAAUAAGAAAUCUAAAUGAAGGGAUAAUUACCAGAUCAAGGGAAGUUGUGUCAAAUGCGUGUUUUGUUUCUAAAUUUGAACCCAAGAAUAUAAAGGAGGCCUUGACUGAUGAGUUAUAGAAUAAUGUUAUGCAAUUUGAACUCGGCUAAUUCAAAAGAAAUGAGGUUUGGGAUUUGGUACCAAGACCUGAAGGGAAAAAUGUUAUUGGUACUAGAUGGCUAUACAAGAACAAGUCAUAUGAACAAGGGGUUAUUACUAGAAACAAAUCCAAACUUGUUGCUCAAUGAUACACUCAAAUGGAAGAUGUGGAAUUUGAUGAAACAUUUGCUCUUGUGGCUCUCUUGGAGUCUAUCAGAUUUCUACUUGGAAUGGCAUGCCUUUUAAAGUUCAAGUUGUUCCAAAUAGAUGUUAAAAAUGCCUUUUAUAAAUGGGUAUUUAAAUGAAGAUGUGUAUGUUGAACAACCAAAAGGAUUUAUUGAUCCUACUUUCCCAAAUCAUGUGUUCAAACUAAAGAAGGCAUUGUAUGGUUUAAAACAAGCUCCAAGAGCUUGGUAUGAAAGGUUGACUGAGUUUCUCAUCAACCAUGGAUAUAGGAAGGGUAGAAUUGAUAAGACUCUCUUUGUCAAAGAUAAGGAUGGAAAACUUAUAAUAAUUCAACUUUAUGUGGAUGAUAUUGUAUUUAUAGGGAUUUCAGAUGAGAUGGUCCAACAUUUUGUCAAGCAAAUGAAAUUUGAGUUUGAAAUGAGUUUGGUAGGUGAAUUAACUUACUUUCUUGGACUCCAAGUCGAACAGAUGGAAGACUCCAUUUUUCUUUGUCAAAGAAAAUAUGUAAAGAAUAUUGUGAAGAAAUUUGGAUUGGAGAAUGCUAGUCACAAAAGAACUCUUGAUCCUACUCACUUGAAGUUAUCCAAAUAUGAAAAGGGUAUAAAUGUUGAUCAUAGUUUAUAUAGAAGCAUGAUCUUCUAUACCUUACAGCAAGCAGAACAAAUAUAACUUUUGUUGUUGGAGUUUUUGCUAGAUAUCAAGCAGAACCCAAAGUGAGUCACAUCAAUCAAGUAAAAAGGAUUAUGAAGUAUAUGAAUGGCACAUGUGAGUAUGAAAUGUUGUAUUCCCAUGAUUCAAAUUCCAUGUUAGUAGGGUAUUGUGAUGCUGAUUAGGUUGGUAGUGUUGAUGACAGGAAGAGUACCUAUGGAGGAUGUUUCUUUUUAUGAAACAAUUUGAUUUCAUGGUUCAACAAGAAACAAACUUGUGUAUCCCUAUCUACUGCUGAAGCUGAGUACAUAGCAGCAAAUAGCAACUGCUCUCAACUAAUAUGGAUGAAACAAAUGUUAACUGAAUAUAAUGUCACACAUGAUGUCAUGAUAUUACUCUAUGACAACUUGAGUGCUACUAAUAUCUCCAAAAAUCCUAUUUAGCACAGUAGGACUAAACACAUUGAUAUCAUGCAUCAUUUUAUUAGAGAACUUAUUGAAGACAAAGUCAUAACACUUGAGCAUGUUAGCACUGAAAAUCAGCUUGCUGACAUUUUUACCAAAGCCUUGGAUGCAGUUCAGUUUGAAAAAUUAAGAGGAAAACUUGAGAUUUAUGUUAAUGAGCAUUUAUAGAAAUUACAACUAUUUAAGUGUGUCAGAAAAGUUUUUAACUAUCAUCAUUACACAGGACACGCUUGUCUAAACCCAUUACUCCAUUGUGUAUCCCUUUGGACAAAAAUACACUACCCAUUUCAUUCAAACACUUCAUUCCUCUCUAGAAAUCUGUGCUCAGCUUCUCUCAAGUGUCUUUCCUAAUUCCAUAAUGUAAGACCCCAAUUUUGACCCUAAGAUCCCUCAUGUUAUCUCAUCAUAUGCAUUGGCUUUGGGAUCAUACCUUGACAUCCUCCUUACCCCCUCAUUCAUUGGGUUUGCAUUGGGAGGUAUCACCAAGCACAUUUGAUUGUAUCAUACUUUGUUUUUCAUCAUUUACUAACCAAAAUACCAAAAAUAUGUCUAUGUAUAGCUUUUUUUCUUUUGUAGGUAGUGUGUGCAUCCAUCAAUGCCUCAUCAAGCUCACAAUUAGGGUUUGAGACCCUCAGUACAAGGAGAUCAAUAAAUGUAUGGUUCACAUUGGUUAUAGACAUCAUAUAUGGAUCCCCAUGAUCUUCAUUUAUCAUUUUGAUCAAGAAAUCAUCAAGAGUUUGAAGCUUGUUUGCCUUGGAAGCCCUAAUUCAUCUGAGUAUCUUGUGUGACUUCCUCAGCAAGUUUCUUCAAAAUUUGAUCAAAUAUUUCAAGGCAUACUUCAUAUUAAAUCAUCUUAUACAUAUAUGAUCCUCCAUGAGUCCGAAAGAUCAAGAGAACUUCAAGUUUGCAAGUUGGUUCAAGGUGGUUGACUAGAGGAAGUCAAGUGGUCAUAACUGGGGUUCCCUAGACCCUAUCUCCUACAAUUUUUGUCAUAUGAAAAUUAUUUCAAUCGAAACAUUACUCUUUAUGACAUUCCAAACAACUUUCAUGUUGACAUCAAGAGCUAUUUUUUCUUGGAAAGUCAUUUUUUAUGGUGAAAGAUUAUAGGUCAUUUUGUGUGUGCCCUAGUUAGGAGGUCAACUUCCAAGGACCAUAACUUGCUCGAUUGUUAUAAGUUUCAUGGUAAAUUUCAAGAUGUCAUCUACAACUUUUAUUCUUUGAGAAACUUCGACUUCAACUUGCAAGGGCAUGUGCCAAUAGGAAACAUUAUAGGUCAUUUUGGGCCAUCAUCAUUGAAUAAGCAAAUUUCCUCAACUUCUAAAAUGCAUAACUCCUUCAUGCCAAAUACAAAUAAGGUCAAAUUUGUGAACAAAGUUAAAAGGAUUGAAAUAUAUACAAUGUUUAUGAAGGAACUUUUCCCAUUUGAAGCUCAUAGCAAAAGUUAUUCAAGGUGGAAGAAAUGGAUAUUUGACUUGAUACUUAGAAAAAUUUCAAUUAUGUUUUAUUUCUCAAACUUCCACCUCAAAAUUCAUCAUGAUCCAAGCUUCAAAUGGAAAAGUUUUCAACAUGAAAGUUGUUCCCCUUGAUGUCACCUUUUUAAAAAGCCAUAGAUCACCUUAUUUGGACACGAUUUGAAUGACUUGUGCAUGGUUACUCUUCAUGGUUCCAUUUGGAUGAAUCACAUGAUCAUUUCUCAAAUACAAAUGCAUGGCCUCGUGUUAAACAUGAAGCAUCAUUCAUGAUCAUUUGUGGACCUUUUCCAAUCAUCUCAUGGGCCUAUCAUACGCCCAUGCGAUCAUGCACUAAACUUUCCAAUUUUGGCCAAUUUUCAUGUGUGUGAAAAGCAAUGCAAGAACUCUAUAAAUACAUGGUAUUGGCGAUCAGAAAGUGGAUCCUCUUGACCAAGCUUUGAUCCGCUUCUCCCAAAAACCCCAUUGAAAGGAUAACUUUGAGGAUUUCACUUGAAAUCGUGCUUCAAUUCCAUUUAUGUUUUGGGAUUGAAACUCCAAGGAUCCAAGCCUUUUGAUCAUCUCUUGCAUAUCCUGCAAGCAAACCCAAGCCAAUUGAGAUCCAAAUCAAGCUUCAUCACUGCAAACAGAAGGUGAAUUUUGUGAAACUUUCUCUCUUCGAUUCUCUCUUAAUUCUCCAUCAUUUCAAGUAAUUUUUGGUUGGUUGAAGUCCUACCAAUGUAGGUGUCAUACCCCAAAAUUUGCCCGUUAAUAUUACAAGGAAUUUUUUCAAGACACUCCGACUUAUUCUGCAAGGCACUGAUCUUAAAGGAACAAAGGCCCAGCUCACAACAGGCCCAAACUAGCUUGCUCGCUAGGCGAGCAAUUCCUUCGCCUAGCGAACCCCUCGUCAUGACACUCGCUCCAGCGAAGCGCCCAAUCCAAGAAAAGGCCCAAACUAGCCUGCUCGCUAGGCGAGCAAUUCCUUCGCCUAGCGAACCCCUCGUCAUGACACUCGCCCCAGCGAAGCGCCAGAUCCAGUAAAAGCCCAAAAAAGCUUGCUCGCUAGGCGAGCAAUUCCUUCGCCUAGCGAAGCUUGCGAAUAUCAGAAUUUCUGGGCUUCAUUCUGAACCCAUUAGGUCACAACAAGAGCACUAUAAAUAGCCAAGCCUUCAGUCACGAAAAGGGGAAGAAAAACGGAGACGGGAAAACAAAAACGGAGAAAAGAGAGCCCUAGCAAGCAAACCCUGGUACUCACUGGAGGCAACCCUGAAGGAAUUCGGCGGCACCAAGGUCUACCUCUGCCCAAUUCAAUCCGAUUUGCCGAUUCGAAGUCACAACCCACUUGCUAACAGGUUUACAUUGCUAUUAUUGUCUUAUGUUCUUAAUUUGCAUAUGGCUUCAUGAUUAGAUUUAUGAAAUAUCUUAAGCUUGGCAUGUGAACUUUAGUAUAUACCUGCAUACCUUAAAUGAUUAACCAUAUAAUUGCAGUAAUGAAAUCCANUAUUCUGCAAGGCACUGAUCUUAAAGGAACAAAGGCCCAGCUCACAACAGGCCCAAACUAGCUUGCUCGCUAGGCGAGCAAUUCCUUCGCCUAGCGAACCCCUCGUCAUGACACUCGCUCCAGCGAAGCGCCCAAUCCAAGAAAAGGCCCAAACUAGCCUGCUCGCUAGGCGAGCAAUUCCUUCGCCUAGCGAACCCCUCGUCAUGACACUCGCCCCAGCGAAGCGCCAGAUCCAGUAAAAGCCCAAAAAAGCUUGCUCGCUAGGCGAGCAAUUCCUUCGCCUAGCGAAGCUUGCGAAUAUCAGAAUUUCUGGGCUUCAUUCUGAACCCAUUAGGUCACAACAAGAGCACUAUAAAUAGCCAAGCCUUCAGUCACGAAAAGGGGAAGAAAAACGGAGACGGGAAAACAAAAACGGAGAAAAGAGAGCCCUAGCAAGCAAACCCUGGUACUCACUGGAGGCAACCCUGAAGGAAUUCGGCGGCACCAAGGUCUACCUCUGCCCAAUUCAAUCCGAUUUGCCGAUUCGAAGUCACAACCCACUUGCUAACAGGUUUACAUUGCUAUUAUUGUCUUAUGUUCUUAAUUUGCAUAUGGCUUCAUGAUUAGAUUUAUGAAAUAUCUUAAGCUUGGCAUGUGAACUUUAGUAUAUACCUGCAUACCUUAAAUGAUUAACCAUAUAAUUGCAGUAAUGAAAUCCAUAAGGCCUAAAAUCGGUUAUGGUUGUACUGAUAUCAAAUUCAAAACCAGCAGCCGCUCGCUAGCACAUCGCUAAGCGAGCCGGUAGCGAGUACUCGCUAGGCCUUCGCUAGGCGAAACAGGGGCGAACGGGACAGUGGCUGUUUCAUCUCCUUGUUGUUCUAUCUUAUGCUUGCCUAAUCAUGAUUUACUAUAAUUCUGCAUCAUUUGGCCUGAGUUCCUGACUGUUGUGUUUAUUUUAUGGUGCAACUUUCAAUGAUACUUUAUCUCGAUGCUCUAAUCUGUGUGUUGAAUUGUGUAAAGGCUUACAUAUUCUCGAUAUAAUUCUGCAUCAUUUGGCCUGAGUUCCUGACUGUUGUGUUUAUUUUAUGGUGCAACUUUCAAUGAUACUUUAUCUCGAUGCUCUAAUCUGUGUGUUGAAUUGUGUAAAGGCUUACAUAUUCUCGAAGAAACGGCCGGCUAGGUACUCCACCUUAUGUGUGGGAUACCCUUAUGGAGAUUCACCCUGAAUUACUCAAUUGAUUUUAAUGUAUUAAUUCUAUGGCGAAGAUCCACCCUAACGGCUUAAUCGAUCUUAAUGUAUUAAUUUUAAUGCGGACUUAAUUACCUACUUGAUUACGGUUACCUAAUUAAUUGUAAAACUUUGUCUUUAAAUAAGUGAUCUCGGACCUCUCUUUGUUACCCUACGAUUAUGGUAUUAUGGUCAUGUCCCGCGAAUAUGGGGAUGCCCUUAGCAAAGACCCUUCGGUUAAAUCAUCAUAGUCCCUCGAAUGUUGCCUUUGUCCCUCGAUGACCCUUCGGUGUAGCCUACGGUUAAAUGAUGAUAGUCCCUUCGAAUGCUAAGGUAUCCUCACAACUGUUGCCUUCAAUGACCAAUCGAUGACCCUACGAUGACCCUUCUACAUCCAAAGGAUAAAACCACUUACUUCUCAAUAGUAAGGACAGUUUUACCCUCAUAAGGAUAGGAAAUGUCCGGAAAGACCUCAGACAGGUAUAACCCUUAAUUGCUCAUUCACAAUUCAAAACUACUUUUCACACCUUACACCUUUCAAAACCUCCAUUAGAAAAUCACCACUUGGCAUACAUUCGCACUAGAAUCAUUGCCGAGUUAUAUUUUUCUAAACUAUUUUCAAAACUAAACGAGAUAACCACUUUGUAUACAUUCAUUCAAGAAUCAUUACAAAGUUAAAUUCUCCUUUUCAAAACAUUUCCUACACAUUUCUCAACCACUUUUUCAAACUAGAAAAACAUAAAUGAUUGAGCAAUUAAGAGCCCAUGGAUAACCAUGGAUACAAAGGGUGCUAACACCUUCCCUUUGUAUAAUGUACCUCCCGAACCCAAAAUCUAAUUAAGGUCUUUCCUGUUCUUUUCCACCUUUCCUUAUUGGAUAAAAGAAAAGUCGGUGGCGACUCUUGCUAACCGCGACAUUGCGAUUAAAAACACAAAAAGUCCAGUUCACCGUAUGACAGAACUGGCGACUCUGCUGGGGACCCUAAAUAUUUAAAAAGAGAGGUUACCUUAAAAACAAGAUCACUUAUUCAAUUUGUCUGAUUUAUUUUUAAGGGAUUGCUUGGGUAUGUUAUGCUUGAGUGAAAGAUCCUACACCCGGAUCUAGUGUACCUUAGGUAAGUAGCAAGAGAUCAUCGCGACUGUCCGGCGUAUACUGGAAUGGUCAAAAUGAUGGCUACGGUUAAUGUGGCACUUUGGAUGUCCUGAUGUUCCUCAUGUUAGUUGAGGAAAUAUUUGGCAUUCGCGUGGUGUCAUAAAAGCAUUAACCAGACCUUUAGAACCCUAAUUGACUCAUCCUGGCCAUUAGAAAGUAGUGAGAUAACUGGCUUCGGUUCCGACUGGAGUUGGUUGAGACUCGAUACUACACUCUUUGAGAUUGGACUUUAGGGAAGCUUUGGUCAACCACUUGGUGUUGCACUGAAGUGGACUUAAGGGAAGGUCGAUGAUUUGAGAUCCUUCUAGAACCCGGUUACUAUUCUAGGAUAGGUUGAACCAACCAAACUUCAGUGGGGAGGGUACUUACCCAUGGAACUCAUGCAAGCCUUCAAACCUAGGAAUGAUUGUGUGACUGGUUUAUGUUUGCCAUUUACAUAGCAUCAUAACAUCAUAACAUCAUAACAUCACGCCAUUGUACUAACCAUUUCAAGGACUUAGGGAUUUAGCUUUGCUCUGUUAAACAGGUUAUGGCUUCCCGGAAGACUAUCCGGAUCAAUCUAGUAACGAUCUCUCCUCAACUCAAGGAUUUAGUGUCAGAACUUCCCGAUCAUGCUCAGUUCAUCCAGAAACAUGGUUCUCUCCUCAAUUUGGUUACCACCGGUUUCAAAGAAGAUAUGAUGAGAGUCCUAUUCCAGUUCUUCGACCCUAAACAUCAUUGCUUCACCUUCCCAGAUUAUCAGUUGGUGCCCACGUUAGAAGAAUUCUCCAGGUUGUUGGGGAUACUUAUCCUUGAUCAAACACCUUUCAGUGGUUUAGAAAAGGUUCCGAAGUCUGAAGAAGUUGCCGCAGCUUUACACAUGACAAAGCCUGACAUUGAAACUAAUUGGGUGACAAGAAGUGGAAUUAAGGGUUUACUUGCCAAAUUUCUGAUAAAUAAGGCCCGAGAAUUCCUAAAAGUUAUGAAUGUCCAUGCUUUCGAAGAUGUUCUAGCAUUACUAAUCUAUGGUUUGGUGUUAUUCCCUAAUCCAGACCAAUUCUAGCAUGAAUGCUUAUUAAAGAUUUCCUCCUCUACCCUGUGCCUCCUUGUGAGAUUCUUGCAUUCCCCUUCACACUCCGUACUACCUGAGAAGGCAAGGACUAUAUGUGUGCGUACCCUGUCUGUCUAGGUGGUUCUCUUUCGACCACUUCUCAAUCAGAUCUUGAAGAAUGAUAGAAUUUGAAAUGGUCUAAGGCUAUGUCCGCUCUUCGCAAUCUCUAACAUCCGUUGGUGUCUCACUCUCAAGAAUGUUAUCAUCAUGACGUUGUGGAGAAUUCUUCUAACAUACCCUUAUCCUGGGAUAGAGGGGUAUAAUUUAUACACAGCUUUAUCUCUACGUCGGUUGGGUAUGCUCGAGAGUGGUCCACAUGAAAUAAUUAUUCAGGUACAGUGUUUGACUUGACAAUGCUCUCAAGGUCUCCGUCAAGCGUUUGCUCACGCGCUUUGGGGCAUGGUGACAAAAGAGCACUAUUUAGGACCUAAAAAAUUCUAUCCCUUGGCGCCUUUUAUCUCAGCAUGGGUACGCUGUCGCAUUAAGACGGAAAAACCGGCGGAAGAAAGACAACAGAGCCGCCACGUGCGUUAUUCUAUCCAAGAGGGAAAAGGACGCUCGAGUAAACUAGGAAGACAUGGUCUCCGACCACAAGGGAUGGGUUCGGGUCGGUUAUGCGAGGGAAGGUAGUUAAGGCCACUACGCAUCCGUAGUACUCUUACGGAUCCGCACAAAGGAAAGAAUUGGCUUGCUACACUGCUCAAACACACAACCAUCGGCUGAAAGGACAAGAGACUGACUGAACUGACUCGGCAGGGAUGUCGGCUCCUGGCCUACUUGUCUUCAGGCUAGACUCGAAGUCAAGUGUUCGACUGGGGAAAGACCUGUCGCUAGGAUAUCGCAAUCCUAUGCAUACGUUGCUUCUCGGACGAGCGAAGAAUCAGGGCUUCGUGCUCGGCCUCGACACGCCACCAAACAACAGGAACCAGGCACGUGGAGCCCGGAUGGCCAGAUCACUGGCUUACAUCAGCAUCGAACUCCACACACACACUGGAACCAAUGCACUCGAUGGACUUACAUCGGUUCCAAGCGACUAAACACAAACAGGUUAAUAGGAGUCGGGACUCGCCCUUAUUAACUGUCAAACAAACACAAAGAGAAAGGCGCCGGACGGAUCCGCUCAUCUCUCAUACAUACUUCUUGGUAUGAAGAUCAGGGCGAUGUAGUUCCCUUACGCAGGGACAGGAUUAGCCUAACCAGAUACGGAGGGAACCACACUCUAGCGCGCUACGACUCGGCCUCGAUGUUGUCAUGCAAAGUCAACCCUAAGUUAAGGUUUCUAGCUAAAUGGCACGAGGGGCCAAACCUAUCCUGACCGGCUUGCCAGAAGAAGGGGUCGUCGAUGAACUAGGGAGCAGAGAAAGGGGAGUUCUCAUCGCAACGGGGCGAGAGAAAGGAUGUAGUCUCAUCCCAGGGGUGGAGAAAGAGUUAGUGUUAGUGUUACAACUCGACCGACAUCGCGUCCUCGUGCAUACGUAUUCUCACUGACUGAGAAUCGAGUUGCCGUAGUUCGGUACGGCGGCUAAAGGAUCUCGAUUGCAACUCCGGCCGCCGCAGGGCAAGUCUCGAUCGCAACCGAGGGCAGAGAAAGGAAAGGCUCGUCGCAACAGUGGGGCGGAGAAGGAAAAGGCUCGAUCGCAACGGAGGCGAGAGAAAGGAUAGGCUCCGAUCGCAACCGAGGGCGAGAGAAGCGAUCGCACGAGGGCGAAGCAGCAAGUAUUACGUUGUUGUGUUAGUCAACUCGGGCAAGACUCGCGUCUCGUGCCUCGUAUCUCAUCUGAACAUGAGAUCAGAGUUGCGUAGUAUCGGCAAACAAUCUAAGUAUGGCUCACACAGGAGUAAGCCACCGACCUGACUUGCCACAGGAAGCGAGUCAAGCACAACCCUACCUUGCACAGGGCAGUCAAGCCAACCUAAGAGGGCAGAGCAAACAGGCAUGCACAAAUCCAGAAGCAACUACUAUAUGCUCAGAGCCAGCAAGGCUUAGCGCCUCAGGGCCAACUGGAAUAGGGUAGUGUGCCUUAACCUUGCAUUUGAAGGCUAAGGUGAAGAGAUGAAGGAUGAAGUGAGGAUGGACGCUCACAGCUUUAUCCUGGCCAGGGAGAGCUAUAGGACAAAUUGAGCUGGGUCCGAAAUCGGGAACCUUCAUCACUCGAAAGCUUGACACUGUUACACUUUCGUACGUCUGGGUGUAUUCCCAAUGCAUCCACACGCAGUGUGAGCAGAGGGAUGACACACCAAGGUAGUGGGGGAUCGUUGCAUAUCCCUACCCUUCACCAAUUGCCUUACUUGAAGGACUUUCCUGCUAUGGGACAGUUUGAAAACAACAGCAUUGCUCUUAAGGGAGGACUUCAAGACAGUUUGCGGCCAAGUAAAGACGGGUCUCCAGCUACUGAGAGAGAGUAAUUUAUACCUCAAAGCAAUUGCUAAAAAAAGCAAAGCAAUCAAGUUCAGAGACUUAAGCAACGAAAGUACCUGAAAAGUUUCAAACAUCGGGCAAACAUUCAAGUUUAAUCAAAGAAUGCGUAAAGUCAACAGAUGGUCCCUUGUGCAAGGUACCAAGACCUCAACACAUGAAAUCAAACCUACAACAAAGAGUUUAGCAUAUGAUAACCAUCAGUUCAAAACAAGUUGAAUGAUCUUUGGGGCAUUGGUGCUUAACCUGAAACAGGGAACUCAUUGUAGUCAAGGGACCACUAUGGACUAGCUAGGGUCAGUGCACGAAAGUCAACAGGCAAAAAAGUCACCAGUCAAGGUAAAUUCAAGAGCGUUUCAAUUAGCCCCAUUACAAAUUCAUGCAUUAUUAUUCCUUCAUGAACAUUUGGUAAGUAGGCAGAUGAAAGCUCAAGAGGUCAACAGAAUGACUUGCAUCAAAAGUCACCAAACAAUCUCAAUCUCAAUAAAUCAAUUCAUCCUAAUCUACCAGGUAGGAUGUCAAUUUCAUGGCAUUUGGGUGAGAGGAAGGCAGUCAAUUUGAAAAUCAGAAGUCCACCAAUUUAAGCUGUACAAUGAAGGUCACAAAACAUGGGUUACUUCAAAUCAUAUCAAAUUUGAAAGAUGAGAAUGAAUGAGAUCCCCAUGCAAGUUCAAGAUGUUAGUAUCAGAUAUGAUUCAUGAUCAUACAUAUGGUAUGCGAUUUCCAAAUGAUUUGGCAAAUGUUUAGCAACAAAAUACAAUUGACUAGGCAGGGAGAAAAUCUUCAAAUAAAUGGAAAAUUGGACAAUUAUUCAGGGAAUCACAUGAAUGACAUGUAAGGGAAGGAUCAUGCAAAAUUUUGGGGUCAUUUGGAUGUAAGCAGCAUGCCUUGGAAUCAGCAAAUUGCAUCAUCAUUGUGUGACCAAUGACCUCUAACUUCAGAAAUAAUAUUUCACAACACAUAUUGAUAAUGCACCAACUUUAUUUGGAAACAAAGGUGAAUGAGUCUAGUUUUACACAAAAAUUUGGCAGAACAAAGUGCACUGGUAUUUCACAUUGAAAUGGCAAGGGUCAUUCUUUUUGGUUCACAUAAACACAAACCCUAGAGCCAAUUAAACCAAUGAUCAGAAAAAUUAUUAACUCAUGGUAAAAACUUAGAAUCCAAAGGUCAAAUCAAAAAAAUCCCAUAAUUUUGGGUUGAGUGGAAUUAAAUAUUGAAUUAUGGAAGUGGAGUUGAUGACAACUUGGAAUAAUUGAGCAAACAUGAAUGAAUGGUCAACAGUGGUUGGACCGUGGCAUAUUUGUAAUAUAGGCGCCCUUAACAAAACGGCUGUGUUUUAGAUGCGGCACGGAUGUUCAUUGGCACUCAUUUUCAAUGACUAGUAACAGAAGCCACAACAGCCAUCAUCAUUCACUUUCUGGGUUUUAAAAAAGCUUUAGGGUUUAUGACGCCAACUCAGCUCAUUUUCAAACAACACCAUCCAUCGCAUGAACCAAAAACGUAAACAGCAUACAAUCUGCAUGGCCAUGAAAGCACAUAUUAUGCAACAUACUAAUCACAAACCAACAUGAUCUGAGAAUUUUUGGGCAGAGCAAAGUUUAAAACAGAUGAUCUUCAUCUCCUUAACAGUCAAAUCGCAAUUUUCCGAAUGAUAAAUGAAUGCACUAUUUCUAACAACACAUCCACACCACAUACUGACUCUAAUCAUAAUCAACUACUCACGAAGAACAACAAAAAAAUCGAGCAUUUAACUUUCAACCACAAUAACUUUCUAGGUCCCUUCUCAAAACUAAUCUAUCAGUGAAUUCAGAUCCAAGAUCUUUCCAACAUUGCACAAUUACAAUAAAGAGGUCGAAAUUUACUUGAUUUCAUCUGCGAAAUUUGGACGCUGUGUUAUGAAUGAUGUAGCUCAAACAGUAAAGGUCAGCUCCAUGCUGGAUGAUGAGGUUAUUUGAGCUCAACUUGCUCAUUCAACUUUAAAUCCAGUUACCUGGAGCGUCGGUCGAGGAAACAGAGUGAAUGUUGUGCAGGUGGUAGCUGUGCUCGAGGGUUCCACAGCGGUGUCCAGAUGGAGAACAAGUAGAAGGCUCGUGGUGCUUGAAGCUUUUUAGCAGAAAAAAUUCAUAAUCGAGGCAAUGCAAGAUCGCAGAGAAGAGAGUAAUUUUCUGUUGUUGGCUUGCUGAUGUUAGGUUGAAUCUGACAGACUGAGCUUAUAUCUGUGUUGCAUGGCUUGAACAUGAUUAUCUUGCUUAGCUCAAAUGACCAUUGCAAUUUUGCUUUCUCGCACAGUGAAAGGAGGUGUAGUCUGUCAGAAUGGGCUUGGUACAGGAGCAUGUCUUUAUCCAUCUGUUUAGUUUGUUAUAAGGUUAACUUGGUUCUACAAUGAAUCCAAAAUGCUCAUUUGCCAUUUUGCAACUAUGCACAAAAUGGUUGAUUGAUGAAAGCAUGAGCUAAUUUUAGCUUGGAAUGUUGCAAAUACAUUUAAAUGAAUCCUAAUCUUGGCCAAUUGUGUCAAAGUUGUUUUUAAAUCAAAGUCACUUAGUCAACUUGAAUUUUAAUGAAAGGUUCAAAAAUGGCAGGUUUGAUUUGGUAAGGUUUUGGUUCAUGUGAUUUACAUUUUUUGAAAGGGAGCAAUGUGGUUCUGUAGGAAAACCCCACCAAAUUUGGCCUUAUGGUUUGGAGAUAUGGCCCUUUGAGUUCAACAAAACAAUUUUUGGAAAAUUUUUGAAAAUUGAUCUAUUUUGCAACCAUUCAGGGGAUUUGAGAGUUCUUGGACUUUUUGAAAAUGGAGAACAAGUCUUCACUUUCAUGUUGGGAAAAUUCAUGAAGCUUGUAUCAUGCCAUGCAAGUUGAGGAUCAAGACGUUUCCAUUUUUGGCAGUUAAAAUUACGGUCCACUUUCUUUUUGGAUAUUUCUGAAUUUUGCUUCAAAUUCUUCAUGAUGAGGUUUGACUGACUAUGAGCUUAUUGGGACUGAACAAACUUUCAACCUUUCCAUCUCAACCAUUAAAUCAACCAAGUUGACAAUUGAUAUAUAUAGGGUUUCUGAUACUGUGCAUGAACUGAUGGCUUCUGAACAUCCCCUUGCUUGACACUUCAAAUGCCUCAAGUCAUGUGAACUCACCACCCCCAAAACCACAAACCCCACGUGUUGGAACCUAGGAUUUGCCUCCUUGAGAACCCUUGCUUGAUGUUGGCUGGCUCUCCUUUGAUCAGUUUGACCUAAUUUUGACCUUGCUUGCUCUUGAGGCAACCUGGGGACAAUGCAUGCUAUGCAAGGUCAUGGUUUGCUAUGACCUAUAUGAGAUUGGUUUCUGUACAAUAUAGGUGCAAAUUUGAGGAUGCUUAAUCGGAAGAGCUCGUGAAUUUUAUGGCCCUAUCUCGCGGUUGGGCAUGAUAGUUGAACAGGGUGAGGAGGUACCUCUCGGAUCAUUCCUUAUCAGAUUGCUACGAUGUUUAGAGUUGAGAUCCUGGGACCGUUGAGGGGAGAGAUAUUUUAGCCAGUUCAAUGCGAAGGAGAAAGUCUAGUACGCCAGCUUAAUUGAGGAAGAGACUCAUUCUUCUUCGCCAAGAAGCGCCCUGGGACUUAAGUAUCAUUGUAUUUUAUUAUUAUUUUUUUGUAAUGAGGUUAAGAAAUUGGUAUAAAGGUCCUCUUUUGGUAGUCUACACAAGUAAAUUCCAAAGAUCUUGAACUUUUCACAUUGAUUGCAUGAAUACUGCAUACAGGUAUUCCAAAGACAUAUUUUCACGGUCUUUCUCUUUAACGAAAAUGGCAUUUCGAACACUGUAAGUCUCAGGCUCGAAGCUCAUUCCAGAAGAUGAUGCUGAGUUAUCAAGGGCACGGAGACUGAAGCUCUUUGCUCGGAGAGAGACGAACCUGUGAGUUCAUAACCAGGAGAAGGCUUAAAGACAGCGCGCGAGUCAAGUUUGGAAUUUCGAAUGGUCAGAGAGGGACGGAGAUGAUUCAGAGAAUGAAUGUGAUUUCCCACCCUGAGGAUUGAGAUGAGUUAUGCAGACGACAGUACUCUCCAAAGUGAUAGUACAGCUGCUGCGAAGAACGUAUGCUAGCAUGGGGGCCAGAAGGCGCCCGGUCUGGAUUUCGAGAUGUUUGGGUCUGGUCUCCGAUGUGACCAUUCCUCGCAAAUUCAAGAUCCCCACUUUCACUAAGUACGAUGGUGCAUCCUGUCCUCAGAUGCAUCUGAGAGCUUAUGUGAGAAAAAUCCAGCCGCAUACCACUGAUAAGAAGCUAUGGAUCCAUUUCUUCCAAGAAAGUCUGUCUGGCACACAGUUGGAAUGGUAUUAUCAGCUCGAGAGCUCUGACAUCCGUACCUGGACUGAUUUAGCAACAGCUUUCUAUAAACAAUACUAGUAUAACUCUGAACUAGCACCUACUCGGCUACAGUUGCAGAAUAUGACUAUGGGAUCCAAAGAAAGCUUCAAAGAGUACGCUCAGAAAUGGAGAGAUUUGGCUGGCAGAGUCAAACCCCCCAUGACUGACCGAGAAUUAGUGGACAUGUUCAUGGGCACCUUGACUGGCCCAUUCUACAGCCAUCUACUGGGAAGUUCGUCAUCAGGUUUCACUGAACUUAUAUUGACAGGCGAGCGUGUUGAAAGUGGCAUCCGAAGUGGAAAGAUACAGGCGGCCACCUCUACAAGCACCAAAAGGUCCUAUCAGGGAAGGAAUGAAUCAAAUGUUGUGUACGGUCAAAAGGGUCGUAACAAGAAAAAUCGUGACCAUACCAUUGGAGCAGUUACAAUUGCAGCCCCGCCAGCUCAAAACCUCCAGCACAGACAAGACAGACCAAGAAGGCAGUUUACCAAGAUCAAUAUGACUUUAGCACAAGCACUGCAAAGUAUGCUAAAGGCAAAUUUGAUCACCCUCAGAGAUCCUCCUAUGAAACCCAACACCGCUUCUUCUCGUUAUAAUCCCAAUGCCAGGUGUGCGUAUCACUCCGAUAGCCCCGGACAUGAUACAAACGAUUGUUGGUCGUUGAAGAACAAAAUACAGGAUAUGAUCGAAGCUGGAGAAAUUGAAUACCGGACAUGAUACAAACGAUUGUUGGUCGUUGAAGAACAAAAUACAGGAUAUGAUCGAAGCUGGAGAAAUUGAAUUUGAGCCUCCGGAGACUCCUAACGUCAUCACUGCACCUAUGCCUAACCAUGAUAAGGCUGUUAAUGCUGUGGAUGACUACCCUCACAUCUCUAAUGUAGCUGACUUAGCAUCUCCUCUCCUGGCCAUCAAGAAGAAGUUGUUGCAAGCUGGUUUAUUUCCAGGUUGUGCCGAAAAUUGCGAUCUCUGUAUAUCCCGACCCAGUGAUUGCUUGAAGUUAAGAAAUGGUAUUCAACGGUUGAUGGACGAUCAUACAAUCCUCUUCGAAAAGGUUCCUAAGGUGGAAAGCACUGUUGAAGAGAUAUCUGUGAUUGCAAAGUCCAGAGUUCCAGUGAAGAUUACUGCCCCCAGAGUACCUGUGAAGAUUACUGCUGAGCCCAGGGUAGCUCCCCUAAUCAUUACGGCACCUGGCCUAGUACCAUAUUCCUCAAGCAAAGCCAUUCCGUGGAAUUAUGGAGGUGAUGUUUACAUCCAUGGAGUAAAACAAGUUGAUAAUUCUGCUAAUCCUAAUGGCAUCGUUGGGACUAGUAAAAUUACUCGAAGUGGAAGGAUCUUCUCUCCAGAGAUCUCACCUCCAGUUCCCGAAAACCGAGGAAAAGAACCAGUCAACCCUUCUCAGUCAGAGACGCCGGUCGAAAUGACUACUGAAGAUAUUGCCAAACAAGAAAUGGAAGAAGUGCUGAAAAUCAUCCGCAAGAGUGAUUUUGAUGUGGUAGAAUAGUUGGGGCAUACCCCGUCUAAAAUCUCGAUGUUAUCCUUGUUGUUAUCUUCUGAAGCUCAUGCUAAUGCCUUGAUAAAAUUCUUGAAGACUGCUCAUGUACCUCAGGAGACCUCCGUCAAUCAGUUCGAAAACUAUGUUGCUAACCUGACUGUUGACGAUGGCCUAGGUUUUUCCAAUGCUGACCUGACACCAGCAGGGAAGAAUCACAAUAAAGCUCUGCAUAUCUCCAUUGAGUGUAAGGGGAUAUGACUGUUGACGAUGGCCUAGGUUUUUCCAAUGCUGACCUGACACCAGCAGGGAAGAAUCACAAUAAAGCUCUGCAUAUCUCCAUUGAGUGUAAGGGGAUCACCUUGUCUCAUGUGUUGAUCGAUAACGGCUCUUCUUUGAAUGUGCUACCGAAAGCCGUGCUCGAUAAACUUGACUGCCAGAGCAUUGAGCUGAAGCCUAGUGACAUUGUGGUACGUGCUUACGAUGGUGCGAAGAGUGUUGUCCAUGGUGAAGUGGUUCUACCUAUCAAGAUAGGACCUCAGGUUUUCAACACUACCUUUCAUGUAAUGAACAUUCGUCCCGCCUAUUCCUACUUGCUGGGACGCCCUUGGAUUCAUGGGGCAAGUGUUGUAGCUUCGUCUCUCCACCAAAAGCUGAGAUAUCCAAUAGAGGGUAAGAUCGUCACUGUGUGUGGAGAAGAAGAGUAUAUCGUCAGUAGUGUGCAUACCUUCAGAUACAUCGAGAUGGAUGGUGAAUUCUUUGAGACUCCCUCUCAGUCAUUUGAAGUAGUUCCUCCGACCAGUCCUGUCCUUAAGCAGACUCCCCGUGUGCCCAAGGUUGUUCGUGCUCCUCCUGCCAUGAUUUCUCUGAAAGACGCUCAAGCCGUGGUUGAAGAUGGUGGUCGUACUGGCUGGGGUCAACUGAUCAAGAUACCGUACAAGUCUGAUAAAUUUGGCCUAGGAUUUAACUCUGAAAAGAUGGUCAAAGACCAGAUCAAUGCUGUAGAAGAUGCUGACAGCGAUGGCGACCUGGAUAGCUGGAUUUACCCAACAAUUGGUGACAGACUCAAUAAUUGGAAGGCUGAAGACACUAUCCUGAUCUCCUUUAGUCAGGAGUAAUUGUUAUUGUCUAUUUAGUGUUGCAAAAUUUUUAGUUUUUUCAAUUGAACUUCUUAAAGCGUUGUGUCCAAGCCCGGGGCACAAUAGCUAGUUUGUUAAGGGUUUGUCAUUUCAUAAGCAUAUUCAUAUUCAAUAAAUCAAUGGACCUUGUUGCAUUCAAAUAUUGCGCUCUUUAUCUUUCCUGUCAUCUUCCAAACAAGCUAUGUUUUCUUACACACACUCACGUAACAAAUUGCAGAUCCGUAUCCACUCUGGAUCCUAUUGAUAAUAAUUCCGCUACUGUGCAUUAUGACUUUGAAAAUCCGAUCUACCAAGCCGAGGAUGGUAGUGACGAAGAUUGUGAAGUCCCCGGAGAACUCGCCAGACUGUUGCUGCAAGAAGAAAGGACUAUACAGCCGCACAAGGAGACAAUCGAAAUUGUAAAUCUGGGUACUGAAGUAGACAAGAAAGUAGUCAGAAUAGGAGCAGGCUUGGAAAACAGUAUCAAAGAAAGAUUGAUUCAGAUGUUACGUGACUACGUAGAGAUUUUUGCUUGGUCUUAUGAAGACAUGCCCGGAUUGGAUACUGACAUAGUAGUGCAUCGUCUGCCAACGAAGGAAGACUGUCGUCCUGUCAAGCAAAAAGUCCGCCGCAUGCGUCCUGAAAUGUCUGAGAAAAUCAAAGCCGAGGUUAUGAAACAAUUCAAUGCCGGUUUUCUAGCCGUUACUUCUUAUCCUCAAUGGGUUGCUAAUGUGGUACCAGUGCCGAAGAAGGAUGGUAAGGUGCGAAUGUGCAUAGAUUACAGAGAUUUGAAUAAAGCAAGUCCCAAAGAUGACUUUCCACUUCCGCACAUUGAUGUUCUGGUAGAUAACACCGCUCAACACAAGGUAUUCUCCUUCAUGGAUGGAUUCUCAGGUUAUAACCAGAUUAAGAUGGCACCUGAAGACAUGGAGAAAACUACGUUUGUGACGCAAUGGGGCACUUUCUGUUACAAAGUAAUGCCAUUCGGUUUAAAGAAUGCAGGGGCAACAUACCAGCGUGCUAUGGUGGUUUUGUUCCAUGAUAUGAUCCAUCAUGAAAUAGAGGUAUAUGUGGAUGACAUGAUAGCCAGAUCUCAUACUGAAGAAGAACAUCUCGAUCAUUUAUACAAACUGUUUGAGAGGUUGAAGAAAUACAAGUUGAGAUUGAACCCGAACAAAUGCACCUUUGGAGUAAGAUCCGGUAAACUCUUGGGCUUUAUUGUCAGUGGUAAAGGAAUUGAGGUUGACCCGGCUAAGGUGAGAGCUAUUCAAGAAAUGCCAGUUCCCCGUACAGAUAAAGAAGUCAGAGGUUUCUUGGGACGCUUGAAUUACAUUGCCCGAUUUAUCUCCCAUUUGACUGCUACCUGCAAACCCAUCUUCAAAUUACUGAGGAAAAAUCAAGAGAUGAUAUGGAAUGAUGAAUGUCAAGAAGCUUUUGACAAAAUCAAGAAGUAUCUCCAAGAACCUCCAAUUCUGAUGCCACCAGUUGAAGGAAGACCUCUAAUCAUGUAUUUGACCGUGUUAGAAAAUUCAAUGGGGUGUGUGUUGGGGCAACAUGACGAGUCUGGUCGAAAAGAGCAUGCCAUAUACUACCUUAGCAAAAAGUUUACCGACUGUGAAACAAGAUAUUCACUGCUCGAGAAAACUUGUUGUGCUUUGGCCUGGGCUGCUCGCCGACUAAGACAGUAUAUGUUGAAUCAUACCACUUUAUUGAUUUCUAAGAUGGAUCCUAUCAAAUACAUAUUUGAGAAACCUGCCCUCUCCGGAAGAAUAGCGAGAUGGCAGAUGAUCUUAACAGAGUAUGAUAUCCAGUAUACUACCCAGAAAGCAAUCAAAGGAAGCGUGCUAGCUGAUCAUUUGGCUCAUCAAGCGGUGGACGACUACCACUCUAUGAAUUUUGAGUUCCCAGAUGAGGAUGUCAUGCUUGUUACUGAUCAUGAGAAACCUGGACCGGAUGAAGGACCUGAACCAGGAUCCCGAUGGACUAUGGUUUUUGAUGGAUCUUCUAAUGCAUUGGGCAAUGGCGUUGGGGUUGUAAUUAUCUCUCCCGGAGGUUACCAUACACCUUUCACUGCUAGACUAUGCUUUCAUUGUACCAAUAAUAUGGCUGAGUAUGAAGCAUGUAUUUUGGGACUCAAGGCUGCUAUAGACCUGCGAAUCAAGUUUUUGAAUGUGUACGGAGAUUCAGCCUUGGUAAUCAGUCAGAUCAAAGGAGAAUGGGAUACUAAACAUCCAAAUCUCAUCCCUUAUCGAGAGCGGGUGAUGACAUUAAUCCCACACUUUGAAGAGGUUACAUUCGAACAUAUCCCACGAGAAGAGAAUCAGUUGGCAGACGCAUUAGCUACCAUGUCAUCUAUGUUCAGAGUCAGAUGGGACAAUGAAGCUCCCAUGAUCACCAUUGAACGAUUAGAUGAACCAGCAUAUUGUUAUGAACUUAAUGCUGAUGAAGUAGAAGAGAAACCUUGGUUCCACGAAGUAAAAAGAUAUUUAGAAACUCAGGAAUACCCUGAAGGGGCAUCCAUCAAUGACAGAAAAUUCCUGAGGAAGUUCUCCGCUAAAUUCUUUCUGAGUAAUGGAGUAUUAUACAAACGUAAUCAUGACUCGACUCUGCUUCGCUGUGUGGAUAGAAAGGAAGCAGAAAGGAUCAUGGAAGACAUGCAUGACGGUAUUUUCGGGACUCAUUCUAGUGGACAUACAAUGGCCAAGAAGAUUCUGAGAUCAGGGUAUUAUUGGUCUACCAUGGAAACUGAUUGCCACCAUCACUGCAGAACAUGUCACAAGUGCCAGAUCUAUGCGGAUAAAGUACAUGUGCCUCCUGCUCCAUUGAAUGUGUUGACAGCACCCUGGCCCUUUGCAAUGUGGGGCAUCGAUAUGAUUGGAGAGAUUAAACCUACGGCUUCCAAUGGACAUCGUUUCAUCCUCGUCGCUAUUGAUUACUUUACAAAGUGGGUAGAGGCCGCCUCAUUUGCUUCUGUCACCAAGAAUGUGGUGGCACGAUUCGUCAAGAAUAGUCUUAUUUGUCGAUAUGGUAUCCCUGAAAGAAUUAUCACUGACAAUGGUACUAACUUGAACAACAAGAUGAUUACUGAACUUUGCACGCAGUUCAAAAUAAAGCACCAUAACUCUUCUCCGUACCGGCAAAAGAUGAACGGCGCCGUGGAGGCUGCUAAUAAGAAUAUUAAGAAGAUCAUACAGAAGAUGACAGUAACAUACAAGGACUGGCAUGAGAUGUUACCAUUUGCUCUCCAUGGUUAUCGCACCUCAGUACGAACUUCGACAGGGGCAACUCCUUUCUCUUUAGUUUACGGAAUGGAAGCCGUCUUACCUGUGGAAGUUCAGGUUCCCUCUCUAAGAAUCAUGAAAGAGGCAGGUUUAGAUGAAGAUGAAUGGAUUCAGACUCGACUCGAUCAGCUAAAUUUGAUUGAGGAGAAGAGACUUGCGGCUGUUUGUCAUGGGCAGAUAUAUCAGAAGCGCAUGACCCAGGCAUUUAACAAAAGAAUCAAGAGACAGGUGUAUCGAAUCGGCGAAUUGGUGAUAAAGCAUAUCAUUCUACCACAAGGUGAUCCCAGAGGCAAAUGGACUCCCACAUACGAUGGGCCAUUUGUGGUUAAGAAAGUAUUCUCUGGUGGAGCCAUGAUACUUGCUACAAUGGAUGGCGAAAACUUCCCGCAUCCUGUGAACGCAGACAUAGUUAAAAAAUACUACGCGUAAAAGAGACCCGCUAGGUCGACGUACCUAGGCAAAAGUAAGGGCAUCCCGGCGAACCAAAAGGGUUCGGGCAAAAAUUAGGGAUAAACAUAUAAAGACGUACACCCGGCAAGCCGAAAACCUGAAAAGGCGGCUUGGGCAAAAAAGGGCAUCCUGGUGGACUGAAAACCUGAAAAGGCGGUCUAGGCAAAAAUUAGGGAUUAAAGCGUAUGACUAUGUCCCGUUCUCUGUCAGCUUCAACCAAGUUCAAGGGACUGAACAAGCUAAUCACUUCCAUUCGACAGCAAGGGAUGAGAUGCUUAAAGACAUAAUGACAGUGUUGGAAUUAGAAUCGAUAGGACUUUCUCUGCAUAGCUUUCUCUCUGUUUUCUUGACAAUUUCCUCUUACUAGGAUUUCUGUCUCUUUGUACAAAUUGCCUGUUUAUAGGCCCUCUUUCAAAAUCAAUACAAUUUUAUGUCGAAAAAAUGCCGUUGUCUUACUUCCUCUGCUUUGCUUGCAUAAACAUCCAUUGAUUUAAUUUGAAUUGAUUUAUGCAUUUGAAUAUGAUCAAUGUUUACAAAAAUGCAUGCCUAAAAUAGAAAUAGCGAUUACUACAAAUUCGCAUUUAUUCCGGACGCAUAAUUCAUUCAUUACGUCAUUGCGCAGCACACGCAUGCAUACAACAUUUGCAUCUCAUGCAUCAUGACAUUGCAUGAAACUAACUUGAUUUUUCAGGUUAAGCAUCUUCCUGAUACGGUCAAAUAAAGAUCCACUCAGGCGGGCAUCUUUAUCGAUUACAGAUAUGUCUUGCAGAUAUACUCCGUGUCAACAUUCAUCCUGACAUCCUCCUAAUGAUGGCAUCUCUAAGCCCAUCCCAGACAUUUAUUGCAGAUACAGCAUAUACAAAUCUCAUCGGAUAUAGCCUAACAUGCUACCUAAUGUACGGUACAUUUCUGAAGCGUAGUCUAGCAUACGGCUACCCUUUCAUCCUCAGACGCGGCCCGACAGACGACUCAUUCCGCAACUCCAAUGCGGCCUAACAUACGACCCCUUUGGAUCUUCAACUCGGAGACGAUCUAGCGUACGAUCCAUUCUAAUUCCACCUGCUUCAGAUACAGCCUAAUGGAUGGCUCAUUCUGCAACUCAGAUACGAUUUAGCAUAUGAUCCAUUCUGAUCGUUCAUCCCCAGCAAAGUCAUCCGCCUAAUGGAUAAUUCACUCAGAUACGAUCUAGCGUACGGUCUAUUCUGAUCCCUUAUCCCAAGUAGCGUAUAACCCACUCUGACUCUCCAGCGAAAUCGACAGCAUAAUGGAGGACCCACUAUACGGUCUAACGUACGACCCAAUAUGACACCCCUGCCUUCAGAUAUCGUCUAAUGUACGACGCACUCUGAAGCUCUCAUCAUCAAACUUCCUGGAUGGCAUCUUCAAGCCCACCCCUCGAUUGACAAGUGCAAAUUGUUGGGGCAUUCUAGUGUUCAAUAAUCUUCCACCUCAGACCACGAACGACAUACUUGCCAUCCUAACUCUCUCGGUUCAAGAAUAUUGAAUAGGGGCAGCUGUCAUACCCCAAAAUUUGCCCGUUAAUAUUACAAGGCAUUUUUUCAAGACACUCCGACUUAUUCUGCAAGGCACUGAUCUUAAAGGAACAAAGGCCCAGCUCACAACAGGCCCAAACUAGCUUGCUCGCUAGGCGAGCAAUUCCUUCGCCUAGCGAACCCCUCGUCAUGACACUCGCUCCAGCGAAGCGCCCAAUCCAAGAAAAGGCCCAAACUAGCCUGCUCGCUAGGCGAGCAAUUCCUUCGCCUAGCGAACCCCUCGUCAUGACACUCGCCCCAGCGAAGCGCCAGAUCCAGUAAAAGCCCAAAAAAGCUUGCUCGCUAGGCGAGCAAUUCCUUCGCCUAGCAAAGCUUGCGAAUAUCAGAAUUUCUGGGCUUCAUUCUGAACCCAUUAGGUCACAACAAGAGCACUAUAAAUAGCCAAGCCUUCAGUCACGAAAAGGGGAAGAAAAACGGAGACGGGAAAACAAAAACGGAGAAAAGAGAGCCCUAGCAAGCAAACCCUGGUACUCACUGGAGGCAACCCUGAAGGAAUUCGGCGGCACCAAGGUCUACCUCUGCCCAAUUCAAUCCGAUUUGCCGAUUCGAAGUCACAACCCACUUGCUAACAGGUUUACAUUGCUAUUAUUGUCUUAUGUUCUUAAUUUGCAUAUGGCUUCAUGAUUAGAUUUAUGAAAUAUCUUAAGCUUGGCAUGUGAACUUUAGUAUAUACCUGCAUACCUUAAAUGAUUAACCAUAUAAUUGCAGUAAUGAAAUCCAUAAGGCCUAAAAUCGGUUAUGGUUGUACUGAUAUCAAAUUCAAAACCAGCAGCCGCUCGCUAGCACAUCGCUAAGCGAGCCGGUAGCGAGUACUCGCUAGGCCUUCGCUAGGCGAAACAGGGGCGAACGGGACAGUGGCUGUUUCAUCUCCUUGUUGUUCUAUCUUAUGCUUGCCUAAUCAUGAUUUACUAUAAUUCUGCAUCAUUUGGCCUGAGUUCCUGACUGUUGUGUUUAUUUUAUGGUGCAACUUUCAAUGAUACUUUAUCUCGAUGCUCUAAUCUGUGUGUUGAAUUGUGUAAAGGCUUACAUAUUCUCGAAGAAACGGCCGGCUAGGUACUCCACCUUAUGUGUGGGAUACCCUUAUGGAGAUUCACCCUGAAUUACUCAAUUGAUUUUAAUGUAUUAAUUCUAUGGCGAAGAUCCACCCUAACGGCUUAAUCGAUCUUAAUGUAUUAAUUUUAAUGCGGACUUAAUUACCUACUUGAUUACGGUUACCUAAUUAAUUGUAAAACUUUGUCUUUAAAUAAGUGAUCUCGGACCUCUCUUUGUUACCCUACGAUUAUGGUAUUAUGGUCAUGUUCCGCGAAUAUGGGGAUGCCCUUAGCAAAGACCCUUCGGUUAAAUCAUCAUAGUCCCUCGAAUGUUGCCUUUGUCCCUCGAUGACCCUUCGGUGUAGCCUACGGUUAAAUGAUGAUAGUCCCUUCGAAUGCUAAGGUAUCCUCACAACUGUUGCCUUCAAUGACCAAUCGAUGACCCUACGAUGACCCUUCUACAUCCAAAGGAUAAAACCACUUACUUCUCAAUAGUAAGGACAGUUUUACCCUCAUAAGGAUAGGAAAUGUCCGGAAAGACCUCGGACAGGUAUAACCCUUAAUUGCUCAUUCACAAUUCAAAACUACUUUUCACACCUUACACCUUUCAAAACCUCCAUUAGAAAAUCACCACUUGGCAUACAUUCGCACUAGAAUCAUUGCCGAGUUAUAUUUUUCUACACGACUUUCAAAACUAAACGAGAUAACCACUUUGUAUACAUUCAUACGAGAAUCAUUACAAAGUUAAAUUCUCCUUUUCAAAACAUUUCCCACACAUUUCUCAAACACUUUCUCAAGCUAGAAAAAAACAUAAAUGAUUGAGCAAUUAAGAGCCCAUGGAUAACCAUGGAUGCAAAGGGUGCUAACACCUUCCCUUUGUAUAAUGUACCUCCCGAACCUAAGAAUCUAAAUUAAGGUCUUUCCUGUUCUUUUCCACCUUUCUUUAUUGGAUAAAAGAAAAGUCGGUGGCGACUCUUGCUAACCGCGACAUUGCGAUUAAAAACACAUCCAAGUCAGUUCACCGUAUGACAGUAGGAAACAAGAUUGAGUUGCUUUAAGGUCAAAUCAAAGCAACUCAGAUCAUGAACCUCAACUUUAAAAUCCAUGUAUCUUCCAAUAUACUUGGAAUUGGAAGAAAUGGAGGUCAAAUUCGUGCUCCUAAGCAUUUUUCCUUCAAACAAAUGUACCCACUUUUCAUUUUCCAUUUGGUUGAGGGUGGACUAGUCCGAUGAGGUCCACCGGAGAAGAUGGUCGGAGCUAGGGCUCCGGUGGUGCGUUGGCAAAGUCCAAACCAUCUGAUCUAGUUCCCACAUUCUAAUCUUGAAUGUCCUUUUAAAUACCACACGUGUGAUGCAUUGGUCAGGGUCCAUUAUGUUCCACAUGCAUGUGGCCAUUAGAUCUGCCACCUCAAUUAAUGAGGGAGAUUUGAUGGCCCCUGAUUUUCCAUAUUUUCUGGUUUUUUAUUUAAUUGUUUUAUUUUGUUUAAUUCAUAAUAAAUCCAUUUUAAUCCAAAAAAUAUGGGACUUUCACCAAAAAAUUUAAAUAUUUGUCUCUUCCAUAUUCUGAAUUAAGUUAUUUUUUGGAUUAAUUUUGGUAUUUUUCAUGAAUUAAAUGUUUUUGUGCAUAUUUUUAAUUGUUUAAAAAUACUUCUGACUUUUUAAAAAUUGUGAAUUUUUUUGUCUAAGGUCCUUUGACACUGUUUGACCUAGGAUAAAUCCCUUGGCCAUUUAUUUGAUGUUUUGAAGGGAUUUUAGGUUUUGACCAAAUAAAAAUGUAUUUUAAUUCAUUUUUAAUGUGAAAUUUUAAUUGAUUAAAUGUUUAAAAAUAUUGUUGAGCCAUUUUUAUGGUCUUGUGAUGUUUGACUUUCAGUUUGGGCCUUGGUCAUGGUUGAUUUGACUUUUGCUGGAUCAAAACCAUUGAAUUUAAGGGAUUGAUGAAAUGUACAUUUCAUCUCCCGAAAUGAAUGGAUGGUUUUGAUUUGAUGAAAUUCCUCUCAUGAUUAAUUUGUGUUUCUAUCUUCCUCUCCCUCUUCAUCUUCAUCCCUGUUCUUCCAUAUUCCCUCAUUUGACUAAUGAAAUUCUAAUGUCUAAAGGCUAAUUGAUUCAUCAACGACCUUGUGUCAAAUGGAUCAAUACAAGUAUGGAUGAGAUAGGUCCUUCCCAUUUUAUUUUAGUGUGUGGUAUGUUUUAGCAGUUUGAUUCUUUGUACUAAAUCUCUAACAUGCAUUAACACCUAUAUUUUUAUUGCCCGACCUCAGAUAGUUGUGACCUCUACAUAAGUCCAAUUAUGAUUGCUUAACAGGGAGCUAAAUUUGACCCUUAAGGCAUAGCAUUCUAGUAAGUGAGAUUGUAAGUCUCUCAUUCUUCAUGGCAUUGUGUGGAGACUUGACCUUUUUUACUUUCAUGGGGGCUAGUGGCAUACUUGUUGAAUUAUCCAAGUUGGAGCCCUUCUCAUGGAAAAUGUCUUGGUUUAAGGAUUCAUACUUGUGAAUGAAUGGUUGAGUGUUCUCCAAAGAAUGACUUAAUCAAUUAAAAUUCACCACUAACAUUUGAAUAACUCUUGUUAAUGUUGUUUUACUUUCAAAUCAUUUACCAUUAUGCAAUUUAAAUUUCAGUCAUUUAUCAUCCAUUGCCAUUUACAUUUCAUAUAACUUAUUUAUGUUUCAAGUCCUUUUCACUUUGCUCAUUUGAGCCAUAUCUUAUGAUUAUGUAUAUUGUCUGCUUGCUUUUGGUUUUGGUUAUGGUCUUAGGACCUUAAAACAUUUAAUAACAAGAAAAACCCUAAAAAAACAUUUGGUGGACUGUUGGACUUGAUCUGAACUUUUGGACUUAGAAUUAGGCAACAUUUCCUAUGCUAAAGGACUUGGGCAAUGCCAACAUUUUGAGACUGAGCUAUCUUGAAUUAUGCCUUCAUCCGAUGCGAGACCUUGAGGACUUCUUUGAUUCAUCUGCUACUUUGUCUUUGUGCUUAAUUUCUAUUGUGUUAUUAUUAUCUAUGUCUGAUAUUUUAUUCUGAGUUGAUCAAGGAAUAUUUCAUCUGAUACAUUGGAAGACAAUGAAGACUGCUAGCUAUUGGAGUGCUUGCUUGGAUGUGACCAUCUUUAUUUGAUGCCUUGAUCUUCGUGAUGUCUGGAUAUUUCUCAUUGCUUGAUUAAAGUCCAAAGGAAAAUGGGUUUCUAUAUGACAUUAUUGUCUGUUGAAUUGCAUCCCAUUUGUCAGAUCUUUUCAACUCUUAACUUUUAAAUUUGUGCUUAGGAUAGCCUCUUCAUCUCCUCCCAUUUCUUUAAUUUUAAAAUCUCUCCCUCCUUUCAAAAACCUUUCCUUACUUGUGAUUUCAAACUUAGACAUUGUUUAAUGAUUAGAAACUUUGUCCUUAUGCCAUUGAAUUUUCAAGCUUUUUCUUAAAUCAAACUUGUAAAUAAACUUAAACAUAUUGACCUAAAUUUCAAAAUACAAAAAGAAAUAACAACUCAAUUCAAAAUUUUGGCCUUUUGUGCCCUUUUCUUAUUAAACUUAUGUAAAAUCAAUUCACCAAUUUAUUUGAAAUUUUUACCACGAACUACGGGGUUUUUAUCCCUCAUUUUUAUGCUGGUACGUAGGCAUAAGACCGAAGGUCUUGUCAAACACAAAAAUAUAAUCAAUGAGUUCUUUUCUCAUCCCCACACUCUUUAUUUUGUAAAACAUCUUUUAUACCAAAAACAUAUGCACACAUAACAAAGGGCUCCCUAGGAGAACCUAUGACACUUUGGGUGCUAACACAUUCCCUUUGUGUAACCAACCCCUUGCCUGUAAUCUCUGGCAUUUUAUUAUUUUUGAUUUGAAAACUUCUUAUCUUUGGUUUUUGUUCAUACUUUUCCCUUUUCCUCUGGAAACAAUAAAAGCAUGGUGGUGACUCUAGUUUUAUUGACGUUAAGCUUAUCCAUAGCUUGAUGGCCAUGAAUUUACUGAUACACAUAAGUAUUAAGUGUUACCUAAAAUGUCGGAACAAUCUUCACCUAAGCACAUGCUUGUCUCAACUGAAACUAAUGGAUCAUCAUCUCUAACUGCUAGGGCAGAUGAACCAUUCUAAAUGACCAAUUUGUCUGAUAUUGUCUUGGAUGUUUCACCCCUAUCCACGAUUCAUCCACCCCCUCAGAAGAAAGCAACACCGUCUGUUUCAAAGAAUGUCAAGACUUCUAGCAAUUCUUAUGUUUUUGAGACUAUAAUUCCUAGUGAAGAUAAGACUGUUCUUGAAGAGGGGUAUAUGUCUAAAGGUUUUGAGAUUAGAAACCCUACUACGCAUACUGGCGGAACUGAGAAUCAAACCAAAGCAAAAAUGAGUGCCAUUGAUAAGGAACUUCGGAAGUUUGUUACCUAUGUGCUGAAGGAAGUGAACUCAGAUGUUUUGCUAGAUGUUCAUACAUCUUUGGCAAAAGAAACUAGCCCUUAUGGUGAUUCUAGUGACAAAGUUGAGGAAAGUAUCCCUGAGCAAGCUGCUAAUGAAAGAAGGAGUAAGAAGAAGGAUGAUCAAUGUGUCCCUGAGCAAGCUGCUCAUAAAAGAAGAAGUAAAAAUAAAAUUAAUCAUGUUAUCAAUGUUGAUGACUUAACAUCUGAUGAGGAACCUCUUACCAACAUCGUGACUCCUGCUAUAGCCAAGAGACUUCAGAGAAGAAAUGGAAAGGUUGUGGUAUUUGAAGAUUCUCCCUCCAAUGAGAUAAAAAGAUAAUCUGGUGGUAUGAAAAGCACUCCCUCUAGAAGUUCCAUAAGAAAACCUCAUGUUGGUCCUGAUAGAUCAUGGAGUAAAGUUGCUACUCCUACUAGGAAGAGGAAAGAUGUCUCUCCUAGUGAUUCUAAGCUUGAGGUCGAAGAGGAUGUCUAGGAAAUCACCCCUGUAAAAAGAUCUGCUACCAAGAAGCCUCAUGUUGUUGUGCCCGAGGCUCCACUGGACAAUGUGUCUUUACGUUAUAUGAAGAAUGCUGAAAGAUGGAAGUAUGUUAUUCAAAGGAGGAUAGCUUUGGAGAGGGAAUUGGGUAAGGAUGCCCUAAAAUGUAAGGAGGUUGUGGAGCUAAUAAAGGCUGCUGGUUUGAUGAAGACUGUCUCAAAAUAUGGUCCUUUCUAUGAAAGUCUAGUCAAGGAGUUUGUGGUGACAAUUCCUGAUGGGUGUGAUGAAGUGAAGAGUGAAUACUAUAGGAAGGUGUAUGUUAAAGGAAAUGUCGUGACAUUUUCAGCUGCCGUGAUCAACAAAUUUCUGGGAAGAACUGAAGAACCUCAGGCUGAGGUAGAGGCUACAGAUGACCAAGUGUGCAAGGAGAUAACUACCAAGCAGGUAAAACACUAGCCAAAUAGAGGAAAGUUGUCUGCUAGGAAGCUGAGUGUCAAGUAUGCAAUCCUUCAUAGGAUUGAGACUACCAAUUGGGUGCCUACUAAUCACACCUUAACCAUCUCUAAUGGUAUUGAUAAGUUUGUAUAUGCUAUUGGGACAAGAAGAGCUUUUGAUUUUGGGAAGUACAUUUUGAACAAGUUCUGAAGUAGGCCUUCUCAACUGCUUUGGAGAUGCCUAUCUGCUUUCCAUCACUCAUCUAUGGGAUAAUCCUAAACCAACAUCCUGGAAUAUUAUUACCUAUUGAUAGUGUAAAGAAAAGGGAAUAUACUUUAUCCCUCCACUACAAACUAUUUGCUAGAACACAUGUCCCAGAUAUUGUCAUGACAUCUUCUCAAGUACCUGGCCCUGCCACUUCCAAGAAGAGUGUUAUUGUACAACUGAAGGAGCCUUGUAAAGAGUUAAAGGAUUCCAUCAGGUCUAGCACUGCUACAAAGAUAAAACUUGAAAAUUUGAUAAAAGCUUUGAUGGAAGAAGAGGAAAAGGAAGCUGAACAGGGUGGUGAUGACAAUGGUGAAGCUGAUGUUGAGGACUCUGCUUGUGGCAAUGAUGCUGAGACUGAUGAAGAUAAAGAAGUUGAAAGGGUGGAGUAUGCUACUGCAGACUCAGAUAGUCAGGAAGAUAUCUGAUUGUAGUGUUGUUUUUUUGUGGUUUUUUUAUGGUCUCUGACCAGGAUUUUAAGCACCCUUGUGUGCCCUCUUGUUGUGCUAUUUAUCUUUAUGAAUGUGGUUUCUUUGUUUUGGUUAGCUGCUUACCUUUGUCAUAUUAUGGCUAAAAAGGGGGAGUAAUGUAUAUAUGCUCUAACCACUAACCACUAACUACUGACUAUGUUUGAGGAGGAGUACAUGUUCUGGAACUUUUGGGCUGUUGUGAAGUAAUGUUAGACAUGAUGUCCUGACAUCAAUUUGUUUGACGAAUUGUUGUUGUGUGAGGCUUAUUUUUUUUCCUUCUGCUGCAUAUACCUCUGAUGUUUGAACUUGGACAAGUCAUAUUAUUUUGGAUGUUCCCUUGAGGGAGAGUCCUGAUUAUGUGUGAACAGGGGGAGUGUAGAACAUGUCUACUGUGUAUCUACUUGAUUGCUUUUGUUGUGUGUGUUUGUUUGUUUUCAAAUAUGUGUAGCUCUAUUGUAACCUGGAUUGUGUGCUUGUGUGCAAGGGGUACUUGUUUUUUUUAGCCAAAAUUUGCCAAAGGGGAAUAUUGUUAAUUCUCUAUUUUUGUGAUUGACAGUAAUUUUGGUAAAACUAACUUAGCAGCAACAUGUUGAACAAGAUGUCCUAAUACGUGGAUUCGAAAUCUUGUAUGAUACAGGUCUACUCUUGGUAACGGUUGGUAGAUUAAUAGAUUAUUGAAUAUUAUGGGAAUAUUAAGUAAUCCUAUAUGGCUUCCAAGAUUGAGGAAUCAUAUAUUCUAUUUGAAUUUAAAGUUAUUCUGUUUUUCUAAAUGUUGAUACAUUUUAGGAACUUUUGAUUGAAGACCUAAUUCUAUGCAGAAUAUUUUACAACUACCUUGCUGCGUGUUUGAAGCCCAAAUCCAGUCCAGUAUAUGGUUAUAAAUAGAAUACAACAAACCUAAUUUUAGCACAAAUCAAAUAUUUUUUAGUGAGGUGUUAGGGUUCGAGUGUUCUUGUUAAUUGUGAGCCUUUCUAAUAUCAUCUUGAUAUAAGAGUAGGAUUAUCUCUAUUAAGUUGUAAGUUUUGUAAAUCACUCAUAAGAUUUUAAUCAUUGAGUGAUUGUGUGUCUGUGAAGUGUGACUUCUGAAACUUUCAUAAUUGUAUAGAUUCAUCAUUGUUAUGAUUGAAAGGGAAGUGAGAAGGGCCUCAUACCUAGGUAUAACUUAGGUAGAAGUUAAGCAUGAGUUGUGAUUAGGGAGUAGAUUAUAAACUGGAGAUAGUUUGCUGAAGGUCUAUAAACAAAUAUUAUUUAGUGGAUUUUCUCCCUGGCUUGGUAGUCCCCAAAUGUAGGUGUUGUUAUACACCGAACGGGGUUAACAACUCUGUGUGUUAUGUUACUUUUUGUUCUCAUAUCUGUAUGUUCUAGUGUCAUUGUGUUUUGAUCUGAUAUCAGUGUCUCGACAUAUCUUAGAUCAUCUGAUAUAUGCAUACCAGAAUUUCAUGAAUAUUAGUGAUUUCACAAUAAACCUAAACGUUGUUGUGAAACCCUCUAUACUUAAUAGAAACGCCAUGAGAUUUUACAAAGUAAAAGUAUAAAUGUGAUAGAUAGAAAUAGCAGAAAAAUUUUAGGUUUUUAAUAUGUGAUUGGUGAGAGUGUAUUUACUUUGCCAAAGAUUUAUGUGAUGAAUUGUAAGUGCAGAAAAUUAUUUGGAUUCAAGGUUUGUGUUCUUAAAUAAUCAUAUAACUGAAUAUUUACUUUAUUUAUCUAAUUUUUUUUGUUUUAUAUCAGAAACAGAUGAAUGCAAAAGUCAUAGAGAAUAUAUUGCAUUCAAUAUUUAAUCUUCCUCAAGAUCAAUGAAACGAGAAUCCUCAACAUUUGCUCUUCUCCAAGAUAUUCAACAUUUGUUCGUCACCGACAAUGAUGACGAUGAAGAAUAACAUUUUUACUUUAAUAUUCUGUAUAAACAAUUCAGUUUGUAAACAAAUUAAUUUAUUAAUAUUAUGUGUAAAUAAUGUAAUAUUAAAUCAAGAGGUGUAUGACGUUAGUUUGAAAAAUAUAAAAAAAACUAUUGAUGGGGAUGAUCAUUUAAACUAACCCCUCUGUUAUUUUUAAAUCGAGGGGUAAACUUUCCAUUUUUUAUGUCACCCUUCGUUACCUCGGCAUUAUAACCGAGGUGAAAUAUGUUUCGCGUCCGACAUGAUAUAUGUUACUUGUAGUAGUGAUUUUCAAAAUCUUUUUCUUAAAUAAUUCUUCUCUUAUAGUUUUUCAACUACAACUUUGAUCAUUCAAGUUAACUUCUAUUAACAAAAGCUAAAGUGAAGGGACUUUGACAAUUUUUUGACAUGCAAUUCAACAUUUAGAUUGUGUGGUUGUCGUGCUCGUAUGGUUUCAUACCAUAGCAAGAAUGAGUCUAACAAAAAAAAGUUAGAUGUCAUUUUUGGCAAGUAUAAUAUAAAUUAGUAACCCAAGAUUUGAUUUGAGUGCUAUUAAUUUUUAUUACAAUUCUAAAUAAUGAUUUACAUGAUAGGAAUUUUGGUAAUAUAAUGAUGAUACAUGUGAUAUAUUCAUAUGGGAUGGAUAUAUGGGCUAAAUACAAGAUAAUGUCAUUGUUGAUAAUGAAGAUGAAAAUGAGAUCAAGAAGAACGGUUUGGCUGCUUUGGAUGUUUUAAAGGAGAUUUUUGAAGAUUCUAAGAAAAAGAACAAGAAAUUACAGAAAAUUCAAAUGCAAUAAAAUGUAAUUUUAUCAUUGAUGUUGAACCUAUACUUUAUAAUCAAAUGUAAUUUUUGAGUAAUGAAAAAUUGUGUUGUUAAACUUUCAUUGUUUAUGCAAUUCAACAUUUUAGUUCUCAUGUCAUGUGUUGCAUUGUAUUUAUGUAAUGCCAUUAAAUUUUUUAGGUAAUUAUGCAUUUAAGUUAUAAUAUCUAAUGACAUUUAUGAAGGUGGUAAAAAAUACAAGAAAUGAGAGGUUUGAAUUGGAUUUCUAAAAACAAUUUUUUUUUCAAACCAAUUCAAUCAAACAAUAAUGCGAACAAGAAAAAGAACAAAAUUAUUUCUAUACUGGUUUGCUGUUAACGAAACUACCUUCAGUUCAUCCUACCAAAGUGAUUUUGCCUUCUCAACAAAGAUUUAAUCCACUAUAAUAAAAAUUGAUGACAUACACCACAAAGACAAAUUAUAUUUGUCUUCUUGAAUCUACUUGAUUAAAACCUAGUCACUCAAGGAAACCACUCAAACAACUUUGAGAUUUACAAAUCUGUGUUUACAAGUAUUGCUUAUAAGAAAGCAUAUUAACACAAUAUUAAUACAAAAAAUAUUUCAUACAAUAAAGAGCAAAAACUCUUAUGCAUUUACAAAGAAUAUUCACAUAAAAUAUUUACUUCAGCAAGAGCGUGUGUAUGAGCAUAGCGUAAUAACAUGAGCAACUUCUUCCAUUCUUCCAAGACUCCUUUAUAUAGGUAGUUAAAAGAUCCGUUGGAGGAUAGAAUUGGAAUAACAAAUUGCAGUUGUCUCUUUGUGUAAAUGUUUGCAUAUAGGAGACAAAAUGGUAUAGUAGUAUUAUCCUUAGUCCACAACAUCAGUGUAGUAGAGAGAAUGGUGAUCUUGUACUGCGUACUAUUUUUAUGAUGUAAAAUUGUUUGAUCUUAUCCUUUAAUCUUCAAAGACUUCUGAUAAAAUGAUGUUGAAGCAUGCUUAGAAGGAUCAAGAGACUAGUUGACAGAAUCUUUAGAACCUCGGUCAUUAGAGUCUUGACACAGUUCCGCAGAACAUGAUUUUCAGAGUCUUCAGAUCUUGCUAUUCAAAAUCUUCAGAACUUGAGCACAAAAUCUUGAAGACUGACAAUCCUCCAGAGACUUUUCAGUCAGAGUCACAUUCAAAAGUUUUAGCAUAAACUUUCAUCAGAACCAUUGUCUAAGAGCUUUCUAGAACUUGACAGCAUCUUGUAAAACACUUGUAUAUCUUCAGAGUCAGAGUGUGUUAAUUCAAAAAUCUAAUGACGUCACACAUCAAUGCUUGUUAUCAUCAAAGUCAGAGUGUGUUGAUUUCAGAAAAUUAAUGUGUAGAUAAAAAUCAUUUGUGUAUAAAAUUGUUCUCUAAAAAAUAAUGCAUUGUUAUCAUCAAAAUAAGGGCAAAUACAGAAUUAAAUCUUGUCCUUACAAUUUAGUUUUUGUUAAUAUGCCAUUCAAUGUUUUGUUUAUAACUUGGACAUAUUUUGACCUAUAAUUUGAUAGAUGUUUUUGCCAUAGUUUGGUAUAUUUUGGGCAUAAUUUAACCUAUAAUUCAAACAUUUAAAACUUGUGUCAAUUUGACAUUAUAACAUGACUUUAAAAUAGAUAUGUAAACAAGUCUAUAGAGGGGACGAGUUUCUUUGCUAUUGAAGUUGAUCUCUCGAAGACUUAUGAUAAGUUGAGCUGAGAGUUUAUUUGGUGUAUUCUUGAAGAAAUCAAAUCACUAGCAAAGAUGACAAAUAUCAUCAUGCAUGUCGUCACUAGGGUUACGAAAACCGGACAUUAUGAACAAAGCACGUGUAGCUAGAUUAAGCUGGAAGAUGCAGCCUGGUUGUAGGGAUCUUUGUAGUGCAGUUUUGCGAGGGAAAUAUGCUAGAGAUGGAGAGGAUGGAUACAUGCUAGUGAGACCAAACGAUUUAGCCUUAUGGAAAGGUAUGAACAUUGCUUAACUAAGGUAUUAUAAAAAGCUGAUUGUUUUACUUAGACAAUACAAAAUAAAAUAAAAAAUAUGUUCAUACUGCAUCAAAUUUAAAGCAAAAUAUUAAAUAAUAGAGUAAACUUCAUCUAAAGCUUCAGAAAGAAAAUUAGUAAAGAAUAAAGUAAACUCUUUUAAUGGAUUUAGUUAAAUAUCACUUGUUGAAUAACUAAAACAUGACUUAUUUGCAAUAGUUUUUUACUCGGCCAAAUGAUUUGAGUGCACUAGUAAAGGUUCUAACACCAGCAGACUUGAAUGAACUUCGCAUGAUAUUGGGAGGCUUCACAUGAGGGGUUGGGCUAAAAAAAGUGACAUAUUUUCUUUCAUUCAUAUAAAUAGUAAGUGGCUGAAUGUCAAGCAUGGCAUCAUUCCCAGCAUCUUCAUCGUGUAACAUUGAUGCUAAAGUUUAAGGGGCAAUCUUAAAAAUCAUUUUCAAUCCAAUUUGUGAUCUUCUUUAUUUUCAGCAUCUUAGCUUUAUGUGCUUAAAAGUAUUAUCUUAGCAUCAACCAUCACCGGGUCUCUCAAUAGAGCAUCCCUUCUUUUAAAAAAAAUUUAAUUGGCAAAGACAAAACCUAUUGUAAGUUCCAAAACUAACAUAAUGGUUCAAGUUAUAUAACUGUAAGACAUACAUUUUGUUGAUCAGAAAUGAUACACCAUCUAUGGUCACCAAUUUCUUCACCAUAGCGGAGAUGCGGCCUGCCAUACAAUAGGAUACCAAAGGUAGCAUUGAUCCUAACACCAUAGCGGAGAUGCGGCCUGCCAUGGACGAACUACACUUCUAGAAUCAAAACCCUGAGGACAAUGUCCUAAAAAUGCAACAACGCCAACAAGAGACCACCCCAUAAAGGAGGUGGAAGUGUUGGACCCCUAGUCUUUUAGAGGAAAUAUGGGAAACACCUUUUCCCAAAGGUUUCAAGCUUCCCUCAUUGGGAAGUUCAAUGGUUGUAGCGACCCUUACGAUCAUGUUGUCUCCAUCAAUACGCAGAUGACCAUCAUCAGAUUGUCUGACUCUCUAAAAGGCAAGUUGUUGUCUGGAACUUUUAGAGCUGCAACCUAGCGAUGGCACAUGGGCCUACUUAGAGCUUCCAUCGCUAGCUAACAAAAGCUGGUGAAGAAAUUUUUACACUAGUUCAUAGUCAGUCAACACAAAAAGAUGCCCAUCGCAUUCCUGUUUAAUAUUUGACAAGGUCCUUCAAAGUCAUUAAUGGAUUACCUCAUCUAGUUCAACAAAGCCACCAUAAAAGUAGUCCACAUGAACCAAGAAAUGUUUGUGGGAGAAUUUCAGAAUGCCUUUAAAGCGGAGCACUUCAACGAGUCCAUGGACCAAGGGCCAACAUCUUCGUUAUAAGAGGUGGUUAGAAGGGAGGAAUGUUAUAUAAAAGGUGAGGAAAGUAAAACUGAGAAGAAGACUCGUGGCAUAAAUGAGGUUGUUACUAGCUCCAAAGGCUUACAACACUCGUGUAAGAACAAUUAAACCUCACUCAUCAUAGACAAAUCAAAGUUUAACCAACGUGGAAAGGCCGUGGAGGGAUUCACGCCCCUAAAGACUCGUCGUGAAUAGAUCUAGCAAGAGGUUCUCUAUUUACAUGAUAUCCCUACGCCUCCUUCAUUAAAAGUGAAUGUUAUGCUACUUGAGCUUAGAAAAUGGCGUAAGUUUUAUUAGGUUAAAUGACACCACAUAGAAGACUAUUACCAACUCAAGAAGGAGAUUGAUCGUCUGCUCCAGGAGGGAAACCUUAAGAAUCAUGUCAAAGGUGACUCCUCUCAAGGACCAAGUGGUCCAAAUCCCACAGGCAUGACAAUAUAUUAAGCCCUAGAUCCAUAAAUGGAAAGGAACCAUCCAAAGAAGAGAGCAACAAAGUCGUACGCCAUAUGCUCAAUACUAUUGCAUGAGGAUUUGUCAGGGUGGGGAGACUAGCUCCGCUCGAAGAAGAUAUGCAAUUCAUAUAUUAAAUAUAGAGGAUUUUCCCAUAUUUUUGAAGGAAGACGAGACAAAGUCGUCAUACGUCGAGAUAGCUUUCUCAAAGAAGGAUGUGUCAGGUAUCCAUCCCCAUAACGACGACCCCAUGGUCAUCAUCAUGAGGUGUAAUGACUGGGGAAAUCGGAAUAUUCUUGGAAAACCAAGAAAGCUCUGCAAAUAUCCUCUAUUAGGAUGCAUUUGAGAGGCUUCGCCUCAACCAAGAUGACCUAAAAGAUUUCAAAGGACCACUAGUUGGAUUCUCUACAGAGCAGGUACAAGUGAAAUACUACAUAAUGCUGAAGACCACCUUUGGAGUGGGGGAACAAACCAAGCAAAUCAAGGUCAGAUAUUUGGUUAUAUAUCCCCCCUCUUCUUAUAAUAUGGUCAUAGGGCGACAAACCUGCAAUCAUUUGGAUGUCGUUUUGUCUACUUUGUAUUUGUGCAUGAAAUGCCCGCUCUCUGAUAGAUGGGUGAGAGUCAUCCGAAGAGACCAAGAACUCUCUAGAAAAUUCUACGUGGAAAGUAUUAAGCUAAAAAGGAGUUGGAUCCUAAGCACGAACACCAAGAAAGUUGGUAUAGGAAUCAAUCCACUAGAGGAAGCUCUUAAAAGUGGGGAGGCUUCUCCCUCAAAAGAGUGAGAAGAUGGGAGGAUUCACUAUUAUCAACGUUUAAACCUCGACCAGAUUCAUCACUUGAAUCCUCUGUAGUACCAUCACAAAAAUGAUUAGCAUCCUCAGCAAAUUUCUUUCUCUCUUUUUUCUCUAUGACCUAAUCUGCAAAAGUAAAAUGACUUAUAAAGCCUUUGGGUUCGACAUAUAUUUCCACACCACAUUUGUUUUCUUCACAUGCAUCACCAUAAUUUUUAAUGGAUUUAAGACUUCUUAUAAAUAUGACUUUCAUGUUUCUAUCAAAUUUUCACAACAUCUUUUAACUUUAAAUUUAUCCCCUUAAUUAGGCUACGAGUUUUAAAAUAGGAUAAAAAGUUUGAAUCUUAAUCAUUAUAUGCAUAAACAUUACCACUGUCAUACCUUAACUUAUGGUCUUUUACAAAAUAACCCUAAUAAAAAAGACAAUUUGAAAUAAACCCAUCUCCUAUAAAAAAAAUCAAAGGGUGUAACUUAAAUUUGGUAUACAUGGAAAUUCAAUUCAGUAUAAUAUACAAAGUAUAAACUAGUAUCAAAUAUGAGACUCUUUUCAUGAAAAACAUAGAACACACAAAAUAUACAAAGUAUACUAUAAUAUACAGAGUAUAAACAUACAAUAAACAAAACAUAGAACACGCUCAAAUACGCUUAGAUACGACAAACCUACAAUAUGAUACGAUAGUGUAAAAAAUGUACAAGAAAUUUAAGGACAUGUUAGACGAAGCUGACUUGCAAAGAGAUUAUUUUAGUAGUUCGUAGUACUUUAAUGGGACCACAAACCGCAACUUUCAAUAUCCUCAACAACUUAAGAGAUCAUGUGUUAACCAAAUAACUUCAAACAAAAAAGAGGGUGAAUUAUGUUGUAAAUUUAUUUUGCAAGUUUAAAAAUAAAAAUAGAGAAUAAAACAUUGGAUUUUAUACUGGGUCAUCCCAAAACAAAUAGGCAUACGCCUAGUGCCUAAGUAGUAACCCUUGAGACUAUCACAAAACUUUUACAAUAUGAUCAUCCAUACACUUCUUACACCUAGUUUUAUCUAAGGUUCAACUAACAACCUUAAUAUCAAAACAUCAUAUCAAAACAAUUUAUAUAAAAUAACUCUGCUUAAGCUUUUGCUCUCUCAGCACUAAAAUAGUUUUUAAAUGAAUAUGAAAAUUUAGAAGAGCACGUGAGUGAGUAGAAUAGAUGUUAUUUCAUAUUUCUUUUGUGUUAUCAAAUGAUCAGAAUUGCUUUUUUAAUAGUAAAAAAUAUGGCUAAGAAAGGAAAUCGUUUUGAACCAGAUCCGUACCGUAAUCGUUUAUGACCUAGCAAAAUUAAAAAAAAAUAGAUUUGAAAUAUUAUAGAUAAUAAAGCUUCCUUAGUCAAUUAUUGAAUGACUUCACCACAUAAAAAAAAAUAGAGAAAGGAUCAUUGCUUAGAUUUUUUAUUAUUUUUGCACAGAUCACCAGAAAUCUUCUUUCUUUUUUAUUUGUUUCAUAUUUUUUCUUUGAUUAAUGAUGUUUAGGAUUUAGCUUUAAUUUCUUUGACAUGGCCUUCUGUGAUUGCCAAGGAACUUAUAGGUUUGGAUGAAGACAUUUAUAUGUCCAAUGACAGUAUGAGUAAUGAUGAUCUAAAGAUACAAAAUAAACAAACUGCAAAGACAUGAAGGAAGAAUAAAAGAUACAAAAUCAUUUCCUGAUGAUGAGUCUAUAUACAAUCUAUACAUCACAAUUUCAAGUGUCCCCUCCAGAAGGAGAUUUCAUGUCCUGAUCAUUUGAAGUACUAAUUGUUGCUGAUGUCGGAUUUCUUAUGUUUCCAUCUCCCACUGAUGGAGUUGUUGGCAAAAUUUCAGACGUACAAGCUUCUUCUUUGAUGGAGCUGUUGGGAUCAAUGUUGGCCCCAAUCAUCUGAUCCCAAACAUAAAGAUUGUUACUAACUUUUAACACCACUGGUUGAGAUUUAUGCAGUCUCGCGUGAAUUUCCAUCAAUCAAUAAUCGAAAUAGGAUUGCUUACUUGAAGAAGGGACGCUGCUAUGGGAUUUUUUUCAUCAUUUCGAGCAAUCUCUGCAAUUCUUGCACCUGUUUUCUUAGCAGUGUUUGUGUUGAAUAAGGCCGCAGUAAUCUAAUUGAACAAAAAGAUGAAGAUUGUUACUCUCUUAAAUAAAACGAAUGAGUGCAGCCAUUUUGAAUAUGAUCUGCUUACUUUAACACGCCUGGCCACUAUGAGAGAAUUGACAGAAGCAUUUCCAAAUGGAUUUCCCUUAUCAUCUAUGCAUGUAACCAUACAUGUUGCCUUUUCACGACAGUGACGACCAGCACCAUCAACCAGACUUUUUAUCGACAUUAAAUGUAUCUCAAAUUCUCCCUACAUGCAUAUAGGAAAUUCGAAUAAACGGCACGCACACGCACACACACAACACAAAUUAAAAGAUAUGAUUUAACCUUGAUGUGGAUGGGACCGUCUGGAGUAAGAUUCACAAUGUCUGAUACAAAACCGGAUGCAGAAAGUAUGAUAACAGUUUUACAACGAUUUGCCACAGAUAUAUUGUAUAGAACCUCUACCACAUCCUGCAAAUCAUAUGUUCAGUAAAUGUAAUACAAAAUUGCAUCUUAAAUGUUGACAUUAGUCAGUUCAUGUAAUACCUGGCGAGCAUUCAACUCAAUCACAUGAGGGGUGAGUUUUCCACCACGGGGACCAAAAGGGCGGUCGGGUCUUCUCUUUGUUGGAGUUUCUGCAGAUGUUGCUUCUGAAGUUGUUAGAGAAGGUCCUUCUUUUCUAUUCUUUGAACCAGGAGGGCGUCCUCUUCUCCUCUUGGUUGGAGUUUCAGAAGAAGUUGUUAGAGAAGGUCCCUCUUUUCUCUUCUUUGGUGUUAGGUUGGGAGAAGAAUCCAAUGGCAAUGGCAAUGGCACUGGCACUGGAAAUGUUGAAGAAUUAUUCAUUGCUGCAUCACCACCUAACAAUUU